UGACAAGAACCUACAUGAUAUUUAUGGAUUAAAGAAAAAUCAUAUGAGGAUGAUGCAUCCUAUAAGGUGAUAAAAAAAAAAAUGUCAUAGUCUAGCUAAAACAUUAGAAGUGUAGGAAAAAUAAAUAAAACUGAAAGCUCAAUAUUUUGCAACCAAAUUAUUUCGACAAGUAAAAAACACAUUGUGAUCUCAAAUAUCAUAUGUUGCAAAGUUCAUGAAGCCAAAGUCAUAAGAUGAUUUUCUCUUAACUAAUCAUUUAAAGGAAUAAGUAUAAUCAUCAAAACCUCUUUUCUUGUUAAAUGAGACAGCUGAAUCAUUUCACCAUGCUAAAAAUGAGAGAAAAGUUUCUCUUCUGCAACAGAAUUUUGAAAACAUCAUAGGUUGAAAUGGAAACUUUAGUUAUACUAUAGUAAUAGAAAUUAAAUUUGUCGUAUAUGGUUUGUUUUAGUCUUCAUACUAUCAAUUUUUAUUCAUUUCAAUCCCUUGGAAAUGAAUAAUAAUGAAAGUAAAAGGAGUUAAAAGUUCCAAAACUAAAAUAAACCUAAGUCGGCUAAAAGAAACAGAAACCAAAAGUAAAAGGACAGAAAGAGAAUAGUCCAAAGAUGACAACAAAAUUGGAGAAGGCGUGAGAAAAGCUUUAGAGGACACGUGAAGGGCAAGUGAAAGAAGAAGCAGUAGUGGUAGUAAUAGGCUGAGCAUUCUUAGAAAGCAUAACAGAGAACAGAACAGAACUUCAAAUUGCAAAAAGUAUUGUUUGGACAUUCUGAUUAAGCAAAUUGUAAAACAAACCCAUCAUACCACAAAAGACAACCACCACCUAACAUUCAUCUAAACUAAAAGGCUAAAAGACUUGGAGAGAGAGAGAGAGAGAAAGAGUAGAGAUAUCUGCUGAUAUUUAUGACAUUGUAUAAGAUUAGUGAUGAGUCAACAAUAUCUCACUACAUUUGAGGUACAACAAACCCUAAGAGUAAUGUUAUAAAAAAAGAAAAACCACACCCAUUCAUCAUACAAACCCAAAGUUUGCACCUUUUUUCAACCCUCAAAUUUAGGAGACUAGCCCUAAUUGACAUAACUUAAGCAAGCCCUAAUUGACAUAGAACGUUACCUCAAUUUCAAUCGGCAGUUUGGACAACCAGAAUAUUACCUCAAGUAUAGACCUAAGUUUUAUAUCAUAAUGUCAUUCUCACAGACUUAAUGUAUACUACAUAUAAUUGAAAUCAUAAUUUAUGACCUAAAAAGUGUGAAAUUUUGCAGUGUUGUAAUUAUAUUAACACAGACAGCAAAGUAUGCAAACGAUAAAUUUCAUAGUUGUUCGUUGUAACACCCCGAAUUCGAGGUAUAGUUUAGUUGUCGAUUUUUUUAUUGAAUUUUUAAGGAUUUGGGUGUUAUGUUAUUAUAAAUUGAUGGGAAAUAAAAGAAAUAAGAAUUUGAUAAAUAGAAGUAAUAACAGUACUUAUUGUUCAUUAUUAUUGUUAUUAUAAAAAAUCGGAAAAUUGCAUAGGAUAACAUUUUGAGAAUAUGAUACAGUAAUUAUAGCACAUUGCUUUAGAAUUUUACAAACAUGGCAAAAUUGUCACUUCUCAAUCUUAAAUUGGAUAUUAUUUCUAAACUACCCUUCAAUUACUUAUUUUUCUUCCUCUUUUUAAUGUCUUACUCAUUAUUGAUUACUUUUUAAGGCCCUAAUUAUUUGUUUAUUCUUAUACUAGAAAAAUUAUUUAUUCUUUGUGUUAAUCCUAAUUUUAAAAUAUCAAUAGUACAAUAAUUGCAAUAUUAAAUAUAAUAUAAUAGUUGUUGAUCGGAGUAAUUUAACUUUAUUUGUGAUUUUUUUUACUUUCUUCGAUGUGUAUUUUGAGUUGAAUCUAAUUCCAAAUGAUUUGUUUUAUUUUCUUAUAUUAUUUUUUUGGUUUUACUUUGUCUCAGUUUCGUAUAUCAGUGUUGUGAUAUACUUAUAUUAUAUGUGUAUUAGUUCGUUAAUAUACUUACUACGUGAUUUUUUUUUCUUCAAAUUUUAUGCAGUUGAUUAGAGUAUUAUUAAGUAUAUGAAUAAUGUAACUCUUUAUAUCAUUAUCAAGUAUAUCAACAAUAUAUUGUUAAAGAAUAUCAGUAAAGUGAAUCAUUAUCAAGUAUAUGAAUGGAGUUUACAAGUGUAUGUCAAUAGUAUAUCAAAUGUAUAAAUAGGACUUCAAGCAUAUCAAGUGCAUUUAAUCAAUCAAUUGUAUAAGUGAAGUAUACAAAAUGUAUCUGCAGUGUAUCAGGUGUAUCAAACAUAUAUUAGUAACGUUUUGGUAUCGAGUGUAUCAAAGAGUAUCAGGUGUAUUAAGUGUAUCAAUCAAAUUUAUUGAGUGUAUAAAAAAGUAUCAGGUGUAUCAAUUGGUGUAUUAGAUGUAUCAGACGUGUAUAAGGUGUAUCAAACGUAUAUUAGUAACGAUGACAUUUGUGAUAUUUUACUUUUUGAUGUGUGGGCUGGACUUCGUUUUUGCCAUUUUUGCAAAUAAUAAAAUAUGUGUGAUAUAAACUUAAUUAUUAUAACUUAUUUUGUCAUUACUAUAACUUAUUUUGUCAUUUUUGCAACUGCUAAAUAGUAAUCAAUUAGGGUUUUUUGUGAUUGUUUUUAAUAACCAAUAUUGUUGGGUUAGUAAAUUGAUUUAAAAUGAUUUUCUGAAGGUGCAAAUAGUGGAGAUCACCUAAAUCCCUUCAAUUUCAAAUGAGUUGGGUUGGGUUCAACUCUCCACUUUUUUGGUAAGUUGUGGAAAUUAUGUAGAGAACGAAUUGUAUAGAUGAAAUUUGUUGUGGGAGUGAUCGAUUUCUAUUUAUCUAUGUUUAGGUUGUUUUGGAAAACUUAGGUUCAAUCAAGAGGCUAGAGUAAAGUUAAGGUAAGGGUUCCUACUACUCGACUCAAUGAUGCAAUUGAGAUGUAUUGUGGAUCCCGCUGAACUCGGAUGGACUGACUGAUAUGCAAAUUAUAAUUGAUUACUAUUUAGCUGUAUGAAUUUUAUUGAAUUGAGAUGAACUGACUGAUACGUAUACUUGGUUAUGAUGACUUGAUUAAGUUGUGGGUUGUUGGUUGUUAUGUUAGGGCAUAGGUAGUGUCUUGUAGGUAUGAUUAAUGAACUAAAUUGAAUUGACUGAAUUGAGGAGAGCGAUGCUUAUGUAUAAGUUAAUUCGUUGAGGAACAAUUUUGAUAAUGUUUGAUCAUGUGUUGGACUGCAUAAAUUGACUGUAAAUGUGUUGAACUGAGAGAAUGAAAUGAUGGUGGCUUGAAUUGCCAAUAUGCUUGACUGAUUAAAAAUGCUAGAUUGGGACUGAGGGGAAAUUGUUAGCUUUUUCUAUUGGGUAGUGUGUCUUGCAGGUGUCCCACAGGAUCACAACCUAUUGUGCAUCCUUCGAGGGCACUAGACUGAUAUGUGUUUUCUGCAGAGCACUAGAUUGAUAUGAGUGUCCUUCGGGGCGUUAGACUGAUUAUGUGUAUCCUACGGGAUCACCACUUGUUAUUGUGUGUUCUUGUGAUAUAAUUUAUGAAUAUUUGGAGCAUUCAAGUGAGGAUUGAUUUAUUUUGCUUGUGGAGUACUUCGAAGAUCGAGGGUUGAUGGAAAUUUCAAAACUUUGUUUGAUCCUUAGUUCCUUAGAACAUCUAAGUAACUUGAAUCUAGGCUUUCUUAGGGAUUGAAAUCAAGUUUUGGAUUUGGAAUUGUUGAAGUUAUGUUCUUUGAGUCUUGUUAUUUAACAUGGUUCGUAGAUCAAAUGUCCAAAGAUUUCAUAUCACUGUCACUCAAAUUGUUGUUGCAAAAGCAAAUAUAUUUUGAUAUGUGCAAAACUACAAGUGCAAGACAAAAACAAUGAGCACUAACUUAUUUAUGCAACUUCAUGUGUAUUGAAUCAAAAUUGAGUAUUUUUAUCUACUUUUAUUUUUAUUAUCUUUAAAAUUUGUAAAAAUAGUUCUAACUUAAUUUUCACGGUAUUUUUAAUAAAAUAAGUUUCAAUAUAAGGAUGACAAAAUAAAAAAAAAAAAAGAAGAGAAUAUUGAAUAUUUAUUCACAUAUUUGAAAAAUAAAAGAAAUUUUACCACAAUUUUUUGUUAAGAAAGAAUGCAGUUCAAAUAAGAAAAAAAAUAUCCUAACUUUAUUUUCUAUCUAUAUAACGACCGUAUUUAAAAAAAUAGAUAAUAUAAAUUUAUUAGCAAAACACCUCGGUCAAAUAUUUCAAAUAUAAGAAUUAUAUUGUAAAAUAAGGCAUGAUCUAUCACCUUAAUCUAAAGAGACAUUUUAAAAAUAACAAAAUAAAUUAAAAUAUUUACAAGCUAUUGCAAAAUUUUGGAUUCUAUCAAUAAUAUAAACUGAUAGACUUCUAUUACUGUCUAUCAAUGCAACUGAUAGAGGCAUAUCAAUCUAUCAAUGUCUAUUAUUCAUAGAAUCUAAAUUUUUUUAUAUGUUAGCAAAUAUUUUGUCAAAUUUACUAUUUUUAACAACUUUUCUAACAGUUAUAAUAUGCAUCUAAAAUGAUAUAGCAUAUUUCACAAAUCUAUAUAAGAUUUAACUAAAAAUUUAAAGUCUACAAAUAUUUGAUUUUCAAUAUCUUUUCUAUUUUUUAUGAUUCAAAAUAAGAUUAUAUAAGUUUCACAAAUAUAAAUUUUAUUCCUAAAAAAGCUAUAUAUAUGUACCCAUAAUUCAUAAAAUGCUCAUCACCAAUGCAAAAAUUAGAUUAUGAUGAAGAUCAAUGCACAUGUAUGAAUAAGCUUGAUUAAUUAAAAAGUUAAUUUUUAGAGAAUGAGAUUUGGAAUUCAACCAGUAUAUAUGCCUAACCAAAUUCAAUAUGAUUGAGAAACUUGAAGAUAAACAAGAAACAUUUUUAUCUAUUUUUAUUUUUAUUUUUAAAAUUUGUAAAAACAGCUCCAACACGUUUUCAUGAUAUUUUUAAUGAAAAUUUAGUUUUUCUCUUUUUAAGGAAUUGUCAAAAUUGUUUUUUCUCUCUAACGUAAUAAUUUCACGACUUAGUAUAAAAAGAUGGAUCGUUACAGUCUUCUCUCUUUUGAGAAACUUUCAUCCUCGAAAGUUCUAAUUCUCGAAUAGCUCAAUCAUAUUGGACUCUCAUGUGAUAAUUAAUAACAUUUUUCACCAAAUUCCAAAAUCUUUAAUUAAAUAUAUACAUCCCCAUAUAUAUAUAUUUAAUUAAAGCAAAACAUUACGCCAAAUAAAUUUCUUUAACUUCUAAUUUUAAUUAAUCUAACACCAAAUAAAUUACAUAACUUCCAAUUCCAUUUAAUGUAACAACCAUGAUAAGUUUCUUAAAUUUUUUUGGGUGUUAGAGGUCUAAUUUAAUUAAAUACACAAAGUAACAUUUCUAAAAGAUUUUCUUUAAAAAAUUCACAAAUGUUUUUCAAACCACGACUCAAGAUUAAGUUUCAAUGUUCAUAUAAAACGUUGGAUGAGUUUUACAAUUUGAUUAAAUCAAUUGUAAAUAUAAUAUUAAAUAUAUUUUAACAAUCAAUUUGGCAAACACAUAACUUACACAUAUGAUUAAUGUAGAGUACCCAUAUUUUUUUAACUUUAUGUUUAAAUUGAAGAAAGAUAAAUGAUGGUAGUGAGAAGAUAAAUGAUCGAUGAAUAUACCAAAUGCUUACAUAUGACAAAAUCACCAAAAUUAAAAUAUUCACCGUACAUGAACGUGAUUCUAAAUACCUCAAAACUAAAAAGAAAAUUUCAAUAAAACUAAUUUUUUUUACACAAUCUCUAAAGUGGUGAAACUUGUGAUGAUAACAUGUUAUAAAAUAAAGAACAAAGAAACAACACAAAGAGAAAAAUAGACAAUUGAACACGAUUGUGGUUGUCUUACGACAAAUGAUCUCUACGACCUCUAGUUAUAUAGUUGUGAAAAUAAUAGUUACAAGACUAAAGAUGAGGAGGGGACAAGAAAGUCAGGAAGAUUGAUUGAUGGAGAGGUUGAUGAAUAAAUUUGUAAGCUAAGAAGGUUAUGGCCAUAUGAUAAUAUUAUCCAACUUUAAUUUAGAAUAAUAUGGAUAAUAGGACCACAUUUGUUCCAAAAGAAAAAAUGACUUUGUAAGAAUACAAUUAAUUGUGUGUUUUAUAUUCCUGUCGUUAACAAAAAUAUUGGAUAUACAUGGUCCAUUGAACACUAUUAAUUGUAUUACUUAAAAAUAGUAAAUAAGGCCGUUUAAUAUGUUAUUAUGACAUUGACAUCUAUGGCUUCCUUGCCUAUUUAAAGGGAAAGCAAGUGAUGAAUUUCUAAGCAGAAGUAAGUAAAAAUGAUAAUGGGAGUGAAAAAAAUGAAGACCAGGGUGAUGAUAGUUUUGUUGAUGGCUGUGUUGAUGUUUGUGGGGAGAAUAGAGCAAACGGAGGGUGCUGCUUUUGAAAAAUGGACAGUCCAUGUGAUGAAUGACCUAACCCAUGACCAAAAGUUGCUUGUUCACUGCCAAUCCAAAGACAAUAAUUUAGGAGAACACAGAGUUAAUGUUGGCUCGGAGUACUAUUGGUCUUUUAGAAUUAACUUCUGGGAAACAACUUUAUUUUGGUGCCAAUUAAAAAAGCCAAAUGGACAACAUGCAUCUUUUGAAGCUUUUUGGGUAGAAAAACAUUCCAUUUGGCUCUAUUAUAGAUGCUUGGAUUCUGCAUGUUAUUGGCAUGCCAAAGAUGAUGGAAUCUACCUUGCAAACAACCCUGAUAAAACGCAACUUUUGAUUCAUAAGUGGGAAAAUUAAUAAAUAUUACCCACCCAAUAAACCGUCAAUAUAUUUAUGUUUCUCUCUUUCCUUCAAUUGAAAUGCUUAGUUAUGCUAGGCCCAAUGGUUUAAAGAAUGAUGGAUUCAACGAAAGUAGGACUUUUAUAAUUAUCUUUCUUAUAUUAUGUUCACUCCCUCAACUUUCACCUUUUUUCCCCUUACAAGUUCCAGCUUAGAUGUGUUAAUCCAUGACUCAAUUAUAAUGUAGUGUUUAGAGGUCUUCGUGUUGAUGAUGAUGUAAUGAAAAUAUUUCCUCUUUAAUGGGUAGUGGGAGGUGGAACGUGGAACGUUAAUUAAUCUCUUUAUAAUAUAUACACUAAACUUGUGUUUGAUAUAAAUAUGGAGCAAAAGGGGAAGGGAGAGAUGAGGAACAUAUGCAUGUCCCCCACUAAAAAAAGAACAAAAAGUAGAAUUCUUUUAAAAGAAUAUAUUUCUUCUUCUUUUUCCAUUUCGUUCUCACUUUCACACUAAACUAUUCCUCUCCCUCUCGCCGGAGCACUGCUGCACUCCACAUCGGGCAACCCUCAUAAGGAUAAAAAGAGAUCUUCAGAAAAAUGGUCUUAAGUGGCGAAUUUGUUUGGUUGAAGGAGGAAGGGAAGAAGAAUUAUAUAUUUUUUAAGGAGUUUAACAAAGAUAUUGAACAGUAGGACGACUCUCGAUAUCCCUCUGGUUGUGCUUCCUCCCAAGAUUUAAUGCAAAUUUUUUAGAGAUAUGUUUGACUGAACAUAUUGCCGUUAGUAUCAUAUUUUUGUAACGAUCUAGUACUAGUUUUUUUUCAGGUAACUCUCCUUCGGAUUAGAACAAAACGUUUCUUGAAUUUGAUGCCUCUACGGCGCUACCUUCAGUUUCAUUUUUGCUUUGUCAUCGAAAUCUUGUAGUUUUUAACGUCUUUUUUUUUUCUUUCUCAUUUUUGUUCAUAGAUUUUUCGUUUUUAAAUUAUUGGUGAUCAUUCAUUCAUUUUCUUUAGAGUCAAUAAAUAUUUCGAUGUUACAGAAACAAAAAUAAUAUAUUUUUCCAUUACCGAUUCUGUAAAUAUUUGGAAGGAGUCCGAGAAUGAUUCCAAUAUAUUUUACUAAAUUUCAAACAUUCAUGUAAAUAUUACCGUUUGGAUAAUUUAUUUCUUUAAAUGCAUUAUUAAACGGGUAAUUUUAAAAAAAAAAUAACUAGAAAGGUGCAAAAUCUUUACCCUCAAUAUUUUUUAAAACGAACAAAACUAACAAUCCAGGAUAGAAAAUACCAAAACUGUCUCAAUUAAUGGUAAGCAAACAAGCUCAUAGUAAAAAAAAUACCAAAACGGUCUCAGCUAACACGCGAUUAAUUGGUCACUCGCGCAUGUAAUAUAUUUGCUACACAAUCUUGGUACAACAUCGUUUAACCAAAUCUAAACGAUUUUAUUUCAAGAUAUUUUUAUACAUGAUCGUUUAGACUUGAUCGUACGAUCAUUUAUAUUUGACUAUCCAAGUACACGAUAUAAUGAUCGUUUAUAUUUAGCUACACGAUCGUUUAGAUUCGGCUAAACGAUUGUGUAAACUAAUAUCCAACGAUUUUUGUUUAGAUCGUGUACUAAUUUAUAUUUGGUACACUAUCUUGAAUCAUGUUAAAUAAGUUUUAUUUCUUAUUGUUUUAAAAUGUUGUUUUCAAAGGUGUUUUCUCCACGAUUACCGAUAAUAAUAGAAUCUGACAAAUUUGAGAGUUUGGUUUUGUUUGAAUCGUUGAGGUGGAGAUUUGAUUUUCUUGAGAGUCCGAUACAUUUCAUGGAAAAUAAUUUUUUUUUGUACUUUUAAAUACAUCAUUAAAUUGUAUAUUUUGGUUAUUUGAAUGUAUAUCAAGUCGAUGCUAACUUUUUCUCUCUUUUUUUCGUAAUAUUCCUCUAUUAUUUUUCAGCACUUUUGUUUAAAUUUCAAAUCUUUAGAAUAAACACUUUCUAUGUUUUAUUAAAUGAGUUUUAAUAUUUGUAACGAUUCACCUCUUUGCACUAAACUGAAGUGAUCAUUAUCAGUAAUACAAAUAAUGACCAUUUUAUCUAAAAUAAAAGAAUAUACUAAAUUUUAAAGGAAAAGCUUCCAAUAUUCAUUUAUAAACUAUAAAUAAAGUAUAUAAAGAAAAAACAAUAAAUAAAAUACUAUUUCUGAUCCUAUUUAAAAUAAAAAGAAAACAUCAUAAGAGCUCAUGAGUUCUAAAAUAAAUACUGUAAAUCAAAUAUUGAAAACAUAAAUUCGGAAAAAAUCAUAAGCUUUCCCCAAUGACAAACCACGGUCACUUCUUAUCAUUUGCUAAUUUUCCUCUACCUAUACAUUUGCUUGAUAAAUUAAACAUAAAAAGAGCGAGUAUAAACAUAUACUUAGUAGCAGAUCCACUAUUAGUCUCCCUAGGUGUAUGUUAACUUUUUGUUAGAGUCCUGUAAGAAGGUACCUCAUAACUAGAGUGCUCCCGAACAUACGCUAUCUAGUGAUCCCAUAAGUAUACAUCUAGGCUCUCGGUGAACUUAAAGUGACCUCAUUCAAUCACUCAUAAAGGUUAGCCACAUAAGCAUAAAUAGGUGGUGAUCCCAAGGGACACCCAUGUGGGUACAGAGCACCAUAGCUUAUACAUGAAGCAUAACAUAAAAGUCAUAUCUCACUCAUACGUAUCUCAAUCAUGGUAUAUCUCAUUCAUAACAUAUCUGAUUCGUAACAUAUCAUGGGCAUUACAUAUCUCAGUCAUAUAUAAACCAUGAAUAUCUAUCAUCCCUAACAGUCACAUCAUGCAUCAUAGCUACGUUAAUGCAUAAUAAGAAAAAAUAUACAUGUUAGCUCUUUAAUCUAAUGCCAAGGGUUUAAUCGUAGAGUCUCUUACCUGAAGAUUAGCUAAAAAAACUACAAUAGUUUUCUGACAGUCAGUUUCCAAUUAACUCGAUUUUAAACAUAAACAAAAUUAAAAUUAAUAAUUUUAUCAAUCAAUCACCCAAAUAUUUACUUAAGCAUCCAAACUUACCACAAGGUUAAGGUUGAAACCAAAGAAUGAAAAACUCCCAUACUCAAAUCCUAUGUUUAAAAUUAGCCAACCUUCAAGAAAAAUAAUCCCACUUAACUUCAUCAUUUAAAUUAUUUAGGAUAAAAUAGAUAUUUGAUGAGAGUACCAAACUCAAAUAAAUACUAACAAAAAUUAUUCCAAAAUAUGGCUCCAAAAGAAAAUGGCUAAGAAACAAUGAAGUUUAACUACUUGCUAAAUGGCUUGGAAUGGAGAUGGCUUGGAAACACUACUCAAGAGAGAGGGAGACAACUAGAACUAGCUACACGGCUCACAAAGGAUUGGCUCGGGUGCAUGUUUGACGAUCGGCGAAGACAGGAACUGGGCGAAGACGGAGACGGUCAGUGAACACGUGCAAUGACAAGACUUGAGUGAAGGAGGAAUGCUCGCGCAACGGGGUUUCGACAGAGAGGGUCGACUUGGAUCGCACUCCACAACGCAUAACUGUUGAACUUGCGAGGAAGAACUGUGACCCUACGGCUUGGCUAACGAUGAUAAGUGUGGAUUGAGGCGGAGUGACAAACGGUACCUGGGCGGGGACGACCGACAGUAAUGAACGGUGAAGGAGGUGGGCGGCGGGCUAAGGUUCUUUGAAGAGGAAGAAGAUGAAUAGUGUAUCACGCAUCCCUAACCCCUAUUUAAGAUAAUAAUAAUAACAAUAAUAUUAUCAAUAUUAUUAUUAUCAUUAUCCUUAUUUCCUUUUUACCUAAAUACAUCAUUUUUCCUUUUCCUAUUUCAUUUCACUUCAAAAAAUAAAUAAAAAAUAACUUUAUUCUUUCUCCUCAUUAAUUAUCUCAACCAAACACUUUUCUUCUUUUUAUUUUUCCAAAAACACAACAAUAACUUAACAAUUUUAUUAUCCUUGAUAGAAUGAUUUUUUUUAAAAAUAGUAGAUUUUACGAAAUAUUUACGAUCUAUAGAAAAUUCUAUCACUAAUAGUCAUUGAUAUGCUACAGUGAUAGAAUUCAAAAUUUUGCUAUAGCUUGUAAAUAUUUUAUUUUAUUUUGCUAUUUUUAAAAAUGCCCCUAAUAUAGUUAUUAUUAUUUUCAAAAUUUAAAUGUAAUAUCUUAAUAAUAUAUCUUCCCAAGUAAUUAUACUAUCCCCAAUAAUAUAAUUAUUCUUAUCUUCCAGAACUUAAUUAAUAAUAUAUAUAUUUAUACAUAAUUAAUUAAAAUCUUUAAAUUUCAUUAAUUGAUUUUUGGGAAAUUUUAAAAAAUAGUAGAUUUUACAAAUUAUUUACAACCUAUAGAAAAUUCUAUCAUUGAUAGUUAUUGAUAUGCUAAGGUGAUAGAAUCCAAAAUUUUGCUAUAGUUUGUAAAUAUAGACUGCUCCUCAACCUUCCAUUUUUGUCUUGAAGUUAGCCCCUUCUGUGAAGCUUUGGCUAGGUCCAUCCUAUCAUGCAUUCUUAUAUCCACUGUUGAGCGCAGUGUAUCAGCUUAGGUAGCUGGCCUAAAAGCUCGAACGAAACCCUGAAGUCCAACUUAAGCCUUCUAACGAAUCUGUUGGCUCUAUUAGCCUCAAUGGUUACCAUCUCAGAAGCAAAGUGUGAUAACAUAUCAAACUCCCGAUUGUAAUGCUCCACAAUCAUACUACCUUGCUCUAGUCUCAAGAACUCUUGGCGUUAGGCAUCGCUUAGGGUAGCAGAGAAGAAUUUAACAUAAAAAUUCUCCUUAAACUAUUUUCACAUGAUCUAGUUUAUAUUUCCACAUAACAUCUCUCAUUAGACUCUCACCAGGUCGUGCCUCUGUCAAUCAACAUGAACACGAAGUUUUGAACCUUCUGGUAGUUAGGACACUUCAUAUAGUUCGAAAUAUGGUCUCCAUAGAGGUCAACCACAUCUGAAAUCCAUCAAAAGUUUUAGGAUUAUAUUUCCUGAAAUUCCUAAAGUGCUUGGCUUCUGCUGAAACCAUAUCAGAUACAUUUUGGACUACAACUGGGGCCUGAACUCCUACAACUGUGAUCUGAAUACCUACAGUCGGUGUCUGAAUAGAAGUUGUUUGGGUCUGUUGGAAAAGCUGACGUUUUGCCAACGUUUUGAACAAAAAAUCUUUGUACCUUUGCUUCAUGGCAACAAGUUUUGCAAGUGUGACAGAUGUAGUGCGGUCAGCAGCUUGUACAGCAGGUUGUCCUUCAGACUGGUUACGUCCAGCUCCUAUACCUUUCCUACCACCUCUACGAACACUUUUGCGUGGCGACAUUUUUUCUAAAUUCCACCACCACAUGUCUUUUACAACAAAAUAAUUCAUAACAUUCUUACUUAUCUAGUUUAAUUUAGGUAAGGUCAUAUAUGUAUAAUCAUAAACUUAUAUCAUAAAACAUAUUUGGCGAGUGACGAGGGAUAAAAAUCAAAGACUUACACCGUAAGUCAAUCUACAGAAUCUAAAAACUAAGGCUUUGAUACCAACUGUAACGACCCAACUUUUUAUAUUAAGCUAAGGUCGUUACCACUAAAACAAAUAAAGACCUUUUUAUUUAAAAUAAAAGAAGAAACUAAAAUUUAAAGGAAAAGUUUUAAAUAUUCAUUUAUAAAUUAUAAAUAAAGUAUAUAAUGAAAAAAUAAAUAAAAUAUUAGUUCAGAUCGUAUUUAAAAUAAAAAGAAAAUAUCAUAAGAGUACUCAAAAGUUCUGAAAUAAAAUAUUGUAGAUUUGAUACUGAAAACAUAAAUACGGAAGAAAUCAUAAACUUUUCCCUAUGGUGAACCAUAGUCACUUCUUGUCAUUCGAUAGUUUUCAUCUACCUCUACAUUUGCUUGAAAAAUUAAAUAUAUAAUGAGUGAGUAUAAACAAUACUCAGUAAGGGACCCACUACUAGUCUAGGUAAGGACACAUCGACGUACUUAAAGGAAACACCCUAAGAGAGUUGAGCUGUAAGUGACCCAUCAAAUCAUUCAUAAAAAUUAGCCACACAAACUUAAGCCCACAAGCAUAAAUAGAUGGGUGAUCUGGAGAGACACCUAUAUGGGUACCACUUUAAUAGACAAAGCUAACAUAACACCAUAGCAUAUACAUGAAACAUAUCAUACAAGUCAUAUCUUAGUCAUAUAUAUAUAUCAAUCAUAACAUAUCUAAUUCAUAACAUAUCACAAUCAUUACAUUAAUGAGAAGUAAAAUAAAACAUUAAUUUUUUAAAAAAAUAAAUAAUAUUUUCAAUUCAAGAUUUAAAAUUUGGUCAUCAUUUUCUAAACGGCUAUUGAAGGUGAUGAAAAAAUAGAUAUAUGUGCAGUGAAAUAAUGAUCAAAAUAAACUGUAAUUGCAUCUAAUCUAAUUAGAAAUUAACAUGCUUAAAUCUCCAUAAUUAAAUCAAAAACUAGGAUUUAAAGUAACACACACCUUUGUAUCUCCCGAUUGCUCGUAAUCUCCUCGUGAACUAGAAAUGGGCUACCACUAGUGUUGAUCCGCUAUUCUUUGACUUAUAACCGAGUGGACCCAAUGAGUGAAGGAAUGAAGGAAUGAACUAAUUACAGUUAGAGAAUUAGAAGACAAAAUUCUUUGGUUGAAGAAUUUUUUAGGAAAAUUGCACAAUAUAACACAAAAUAGAAAAUAAAUAUAAUCUAUAGCACAAGUGAACAAUAUUUGUAAAACGUCAAUUUUGACCAGUCAUAUGGUAAUUUUUUUAAAUGUCAAUUUUGCCCUCCACUUUCCUUCCACUGAUGCUAUAAGUGAUGAUUUCUAUCACCAAUAUCAUACUAACAGUGAUGACUUUUAUCAAUGAUAUCAUGUCUAAUAUAAUAAUAUAUUUUUCAUGAAUUUAGCACUAAUAACUUGAAUUUUGGAUUUCUAAACGAUAUAAAUGUUGAUAACAUAACCUAAAAUCAAUAAUUUAUUUCGACAAAAGUUGCAACUAUAUCAAUUUCAUUUAUACUAUAAGUAAUAAAAGUUGACAUACAGAUAGUAUGUUAUUAGUGAUUUAAAUUAAGCUAUUACCGAUAGCAUGCUAAUUUGAUCUCUUUUCCUUGUCAACUUAUGCUAAAAAGAAACAACCACAAUGUCAUAGAGUAGCAUUAGGUUGAUAUCAUUGAUAUAUAGUAGUCUAUUAGGGAUAUUGCUUAAGGAUGCUAUCAAUAAUAUCCUUUUAUUGCUAUCAUUAAUAGAUAUUAUAAUUGACAGUAAUAGAAGAAAAUCGUUGAUAGUAGCUAUAAAAAAUAUCAAUUGAUAGCACCAACAAACCUUAUCAAUUCAAAAUGGCUAGUUUUACCUAGGAAACAUCUCUUAUAAAAAAAAAUAUCAUUCUAAUGAUAUCACUUAUAGUUGCUAUUAGUGAUAUCCUUCUACAACAAUUUAUUGAUAGAUAGAUGUUAGUGAUAUCAUUUUAUAUUGAUAACAAUAUAGAAAAAUUACUUAUAAUAACUAUUGGGAUUAUCAAGUGAUAGCAAUAUCUCUGAUAGAAGAUAUUAGUGACAACAACUAAUAUCACAUCUCAUAAAUUGAAAGCUAUCUCUGCUAAUUCACUGAUAGCAAUUAUCAGCGAUAACAACUAACUAUAGCAACUAAUAUAAUAUUUCUCAAAUUGAAAGUUAUUCUACCCUUCAUUGGCUAUCGUUGAAAAGAUAUCGCUUAUAACUAUUAUAAAUUAUAUCAAUUGAUAAUAUAUUUCUCAAAUUAAAAGCUAUUAGUGAUGACAUCUAUUAGUGAUAGUAACGUAUAACAACUAUCAAUAACUAUAAAUAUAAUAGCUUUCAAUUUAAGAAAAAAUGGUAAAAAUAUUUAUAAUGAUGGCAACUUAUCAUUGAUAGUAGCAAUCAGUGAUAACAAUCGAUAACAGCUAUUAGCGAUAUUCACUAAUUGUAGCUAUUAAUAAUAACUUUCAACGUGAAAAAACCGAGAAGUGUGUGAAAUAAUCAUUUCUCAAAUUGAAAGCUAUCAGUGUGCUAUCAGUGAUGAAUGCAAUUAGUGAUAGCAUAUAUGACUAGCAUCAAUUAUCACUGAUGACAAUUAUCAGUGAUAAAUGCUAUUAUUGGUAGUUUUCGAAUUGAGAAAUUUGCGUAUAUAUGCUAUAUAUUAUUUUAGGCUUUUUUGCUAUUUACGCAAGUACCAUGUUUUUAAGAAAAAGCAUUAAAGUGUCAAAAGUCUUUAACAAUUUGAAAAAAUCUUUUUUUAAAUAAAUAUUUUACAUGCAUGUUCAAAUUCACCAAAGUCCAACACCUCACAAUCCAUUAACUCUUAGUGGACUUUAGUGAACUUGGUGUCAAUGUCUCAUGCAACUACAAAUCCCACUAAGAGUUAGUGAGAUAAUCUAAUAUGAGAUAACUGUGGAAAUAACAAAUUUUUAAAUAACAAACUUGAAAAAUAACAAAAACCGAAAAAAAAAUGGAAAAAUCGUUGUCAGCCCUUUUUUUAAAUACAUUAAACCUAAUUAUACAUAUAAUCUCAGAUUCCAAAUACAGUCUAUUUGAAUAGCUCCAAAAAAUGAGGUAGGAUAUCGCAGAUUUCACGAAGACAGUGUAUUUUUCAAACAACAUUCAAGUUUGGUAAAUCUUAAUGAAAUCGAAUAUUUUGUUGCUGGACAAUAUUGCAGUAACAUCCUCUAAAAUAAUGUCAAACAUAUACAAAAAAUUUCGAAUUUUUUUUAGUUUAAACAAUUUAUUAAAUAAUACAUAAUAUAUAGGGGCAUUUUUAAAAAUAGCAAAACAAAUUAAAAUAUUUACAAGCUAUAGCAAAAUUUUGGAUUCUAUCAAUGAUAGUAUUCUAUCACUAUAGCAUAUCAAUGACUAUCAGUGAUAGAAUUUGCUAUAGGUGGUAAAUAUUUUGUAAAAUUUGCUAUUUUUGAAAAUUUUUCUAAUAUAUAUUUUUAAUAACAAUGUGAGUUUAAAUUUUAGAUCCUCCCCCUGAAAUAAUGUGAAAUAUAAAUACAAGAUUUUUGGCUUCUUUAUAUUUCAAAUAAUAUUUUAAUAAUUUAUUAAAUAAUACAUCUUAUAUAUUUUUAAUAACAAUUUAAAUUUAAAAUUUCGAUCGUCCAUCUAAAAUAAUGUCAAAUAUAAAUACAACAUUUUUUAUUUCUUUAUAUUUCAAACAAUUUAUUAAAUAAUACAUAAUAUAUGUUUUUAAUAACAAUUUGAAUUUAAAUGUUAGAUCCUCCCUUAAAAUAAUGGCAACUAUGAUUAUCCAAAAUUUUGUUUUGUUGAUUUUUAUUGUAAAAAAUUAUAUUCAUAUGUCAGUUGUAUAGAUUUAAUAAAAAAUAAAUAGAAAAUAUAUAUUUAAAAAGGAAUUUUUAAAAAUAGCAAAUUUUACAAAAUAUUUACAAUCCAUGACAAAUUCUAUUACUAAUAGUCAUUGAUAUGUUAGAGUGAUAGAAGACUAUCAUUGAUAGAAUCCAAAAUUUUGUUAUAGCUUGUAAAUAUUUUCAUUUAUUUUGCUACUUGUAAAAAUGACACAUAUUUAAAUCUAUAUACAUACUACGUUAACUAUUUUGAAAUGUUAUGUUUUUUGUUUAACGUUAGUAUUCACUUUAUUUGCAUCUUUUUACAUUAAACGUUUUGUUUUUUUUGUUUAACACUAAUAUUCACGUUAUAUGUAUUUUAAACAUAUUUUGUCAAUUAAUUACAAUCUUUGUAGUACAUCCUUUAGCAUUAAUUUUCAAAGACAAUAGUAAAAUUAUAACAAAGAAAUUUUUGUUAUGCCUUUACAGCGAGUAAAGACUGUUUUGGAGGUAGAUGGAUUGAAUCUUUUUGAUAUCUCGAUUAUCGUGUUGUUGAGGUAUAUGUUCCAUUUCAUUUUCGUUUCAAGAAUUUGUAGAAUGUAUUUAAGGUAGAUUUUUUUUGUCUUCAAAUCUUCCCAUGUCUCGUUUGAUCGUUUAUUGGAAUGACUGCAACAAUUCAAAUCUUUCCAUGUCUCGUUUGAAUUUCAUUUGGGGUACACCAAAGGCCUCAUAUGCCAUGUUGUCAACAUAUUCUUAGAACAAUUGUAACAAUCACAAAGUGGGCCGUAUUCACAAGAUAAGGUGGACCAAAAUGUCCAAAAGCAUACAUUUUGAUGGUUAGCCAAAAUGUUUCAAAUUUUCUCCUCUUAAACCUAAACUUCCAUCUUUCCAAGUAUUUUCCCUUCAUUUUCCCAAUAAAUUUUAUUUAUCUUGCCUUUGACUAAGCUUAAUUAAUUUCAAAGGUUUAAGAAAUUUUGGGUUUCACAUUAAAACUAACUCUUAAUAACAAAACUAUAUAUCAACUACUUUGCACAACAUCUCGGAAGACAACAGUCAGGUUCUUAGAUCACGACCUCUACCUGAAAAGUGGAAAAUCAAUUUGUAAGUGUGAGCUAAAAAUCCCAGUGAGUAAUGAUGUUUUAAAAAAGACUUUUAAAGCAAACAUACUUUAAAUAUUCCAUAAACAUACCAUAUAAUAUUAAGAAAUCUCUUUAAACUGAAGACUUUCUAAUAUUUAAAUAUUCAUUUAACUAUGUAUACUCUAUACUAAUAAAAACUUAAACAAGAUAGCAGAGCACCUUCAGUCAUAUUAUCCUGCUAAACCUCGAUCAAAUAGUGGAGCACUUUUGGUCAUACUAUUCAUAAAAAACUCGGUUAAGAUAGUAGAGCACCUUUGGUCACACUAUUCCUACCUAAACUUGGUGGUAGCGGCUAAGUGGUCAGCAUAGCCUUAUACCCCUCACUGUACACAUUGACCAUUGAGAACUCGGUAUAUAAAGUACCAUGGUUUUAUCUUUCAAACAAUUCUGUUAAAAUCAAGCUUUUCAUAUAUAAUUGCUUGUAAAUCUUACAAAAUACAUGCUUGCUUUAACCGUUUCUAAACUCAUUCUUUAGAACAUUUUUCUAAAUAACAUGCUUUAACACUUUUCAUAAACAUGCUGAUAAAUAGAAAUAAGGCUCACUUAAAAUAAAACUUAAAUAAUAGCUUGUAAAACAUAUUAGAAUUGUUAUAUAGGAAUCAUUUUACAAAUUAUAAGUUGAAAUAAUCAUAGUAAAUCCAUUUUUCACUCACUCAUCGCGAAUCAAACCCUUGGUGGAUAUGCUUGUCAAUUUAUUCUUGUCUUGAAAUAAUAUGAAACAACUCCAACUAAUUCUCUUUUAUUCUAAAACAUCAAACUUCACUUAAAACAGCCCCAAGACACACAUUUGACUCGACUGGCGUACAGGGAUGAGCAGUAGGGCUUUGGCGGCGCACAUAUCUUACUUGUGCUAUGCGUCCGAAAUUAGCAAAAAACCCCUAUGUAUAAAAAAGACACACCCAAUUGCCUAGUAUUACUUUGUCACUCAGCCAACCUCCAACCAAUCAAGAAACUUGUAAUUUGGCAAGAGCCUUAACUUCACUUUAAUUCUUAAUAACUUAAAAUCCAUAACUCAAAUAAAAAUACUUUAUUAUAAAAACUUCUUGAGAAAUGUCUGAAUAUGCUUACGACAAAAGUUCAGCUUCAGAUUCAAACAGAUGAACUCUACAGCCUUCUGGAAGUUCACUUUGUUCAAAAUCACCCAUAUUUUGAUCUUUCUUGCUUUCUACAACCACAACUCAGCCCUCCCUUACUCAACUUUGACUAGUAGCCCCAUCUUUGAAAAUAGACUCAAAAUGAAAACUUUUAAGAGUAAUUUUAUUCAAAACGCACCUAACUAUAGAGUCCAUUGCAUGAAUUUACGUUGACACCUCAUCCUUGCUUAACACCACCUUAAACCUUAUUAAGACAUCUCCUACUUAGUUUUACCCUAAAAAAGCAUGCUAACAAGGCUUUCAUAUUUCACUAAAUCCUUAAACCGAUCGCCUUAAUCAUGCCACAUAGUUGUUCAAAAUGCAUCACAAGCUUCCAAGACCAUCUCACCUAAUUAACUUCUCGUCCAUACUAGAAAACCCGACUUAGAAAAGUUACAACUUAAAAUCCGUAACGCUUUUGACAAAACUUUCGGCUACAAACUUGCUCUAAAAUGAGUUAACUUUCUAACCUUCAAAUUUCAGAGCAAAAUGCCAAACUAUGCAUUCAGUAACUUUCUGGGACUGCUUCUCACUCUGAUUCACUCACAAACUGACCCUCUUGCCUUCUCUUAUCCAAAACGCCCAACAUGCGUCCUCAAUAAACUAGAUUCAAUUUCUGAACUUUAAAGACCAAUUUGAGUAAAAUUGCCCAAGUGAGUUGUGAUAACUCCUUUAUGAAGUUAGCUAAAACGUCCAACAUUAAACACUAAAAAAUCAUUUCUAACCUUUCUAACUAUUUUUUCAAGCCAACCCAAAACGUCAAAAGUGCUCUUCUUUGAUACUUAGCCAAAAAUUUACUUCUUUCUAACCUCUUAAGCUCUUAAACUUCCACAACACGACCUUCUUUUCACCCAUCCCAACACACUUAUCAAACAAAACCUACUUCCUUGUCUUAAAUUUGCUCAAAACUAAUUCUUUCAAGCUCUUUGAAAAAUCUAAGAUACCUAAAGGUCGAGUCUUACAGUAAUUACCGAUAUUGUUAAUAAUAGGUUUAAAAUACAACAAACCAGAGAAUCUUAUAGAUAUAUUUGCUAUUAUUACAGGGAGGUUGCUACAAUCUUGUCCAACAACAAAAUAACAUAUUUAGUUAGGAUUUACUAAAUUUGAAUGUUGUUUGCCAAAUACACCGUUUUUGUGAAAUCUACGAUAUCAUGUCUCAUCUUGGAGUUAUUCAAAUAUUUUAUUUUUGGAAUCUAUGAAAUAUCGUAUAACUAGGGUAGAUUUGAGUUUAAUAUAAUUAAAAAAAUGAUGUGUGGCGGUUUAACUAUUCUUCUUAUUUUUUUGGCCUUCUGUCAUUUUUCAAGUUACUAUUUACAAUUUUGCUAUUUCCACACUUAUCUCAACAACCCGACCUACAAAUGACUAGCAACACAAAUCCUAGAUAAGUUUGGAUGAGAAGACGCAAUAUGUAUACAUUCAAAAAUCAGAUUUGAACGAUUUAUGGAGAGAAUCAUGCAAAUUAAAACGGUUGAAAAAUAUAUAACUAACUAGUUUUACAAAUUAAUUGUUUUCUAAUUAUCUUUGUCCUGUAAAAAAAGUCUCAAGACAAUGUAUACCAAAGAGAAAAAAGAUAGCCACUAAUAAUCUUCUUUCAGUAUAAAUCUCCAUAACUUACUAAGUUUUGGUUUUAAAACUAAUUACUAUUUUAGUUAAAUGAACCCAUCCAUGUUUUAAAACUAAGGUCUGUCUUAUAACUAAAUGCCGCCAUUCAUAAUAUUACUUUAAAUAGUUUUUUCAGUUUUGAAAUGGAGCUGUGUACAAAAAUUCAAUGCACCAUGUCACAUUCCUUAUAAAAGCAAUCGCAAGGUGGUUUAAUUUUCCAUCGAGCAAAUUAAUAUGAAUAUGCAAAUAGAAAUAGGACAUAUGAAGAAGCAGUGUGUGGUGUUGUUGUUUGUGUUGUGUUUGACAAUACUUGAGGAAACAAAGGCUGUAGAGCUUGAAAAAUGGCAUAUCCACGUUGUGAAUGGGCUAAGCAAUGGUCAAAUCUUGUUGGCUCAUUGCAAAUCCAAAGACAAUGGACUUAGGGGAACGUAAGCUUAUUUCUGGAACUGAAUUCAAUUGGAGAUUUAGAGUAAACUUUUGGAAUACGACGUUGUUUUGGUGUUACUUGCAAAAACCAAAUGGACAACAUUCAUCAUUCGAAUCAUUUUGGAUUGAGAGCAUAUCAAUUUGGCUCUAUACAAUGUGCUUUGAGAAAAACUGUAUUUGGACUGCUAAAGAUGAUGGAAUUUAUUUGAAAGACAAUUUCGAUACUCAGACAGAUAUUUUGAUUCAUAAGUGGCAAUAAUUAUUUACCCAACAAAAAAUCACACAAUUAAAUAUAUGGUUUGUUUGUAUUAAAUAUAAAGUUUUUUUAUUAAUGUAUUUACGGUGUUUUCCAUACCCACAUAAUUCUUUUUCCUUUUUCUCUGUCUUUAAGUAGCCACAUCAGCAAGCCUGAGUAAAUAUAUAUAACACAAACUAAUUGACAUAUAAUCUAACGUUAACACCUACAUUUAUGUUCAUACUUCCAUUUAUUUGAAAUAAAAAGUGUUUAUUGGUUUUACUGGUAAUGACCUCAACUUAGUAUAAGGACUUAGUAUAAGGAGUUAGGUUGUUCCAAAAACUUUCAGCACGUAAAAAAUGAACGUCAUAUGUUCUACUUACUUUCUCGAAAUUUCCAAUAAUGAAUAAACUCUUCCUCAUUUGUACUAUUAUCUUUGAGGUAAAUUCCAUUGUCUUCAGCAAUCCAAUUGCAAAUAUUACCAUCACAUUUGACACGCAACCAUUCGGUCUUCUUCUCGACCCAAAAAGCGUCGAACCUUACUUGAUCUCCGUUUGGCUUGCGUAAGUAACACCAGAACAAUGUCGUAUCCCAAAUGUUCACUUUGAAGUUCCACUUGAACUCGGCCCCAGUGCUAAGGGUCCGCUCGCCCAAAUCAGAGUCUUUCGACUUGCAUUGUACGAACAACGCUUUCCCAUCGCUCAAUCCAUUCUUGAUGUGGAUCUCCCAUGGGCUCAACGGUUUCGAGCGAGCCAAGGCCAAGGUCGAGACAACCAAGAAGACUAAAAGUUGGUCCUUGAAAGAGAUAGCACCCAUUGUGUUGUGUUUAAUUUGGAGGAUCCUGCAACAGCGGAAGUUUAGAACUUGGUUUAUAUACAAAGAAUGUGUGUGGGAUUGAUGGAUUAUAUUUAAAUGGAAAACUAUUUUUAUGCAUGGAUUUUACAAAUUAAUGGUUGGUUUUCAAAGAUAUAUUCUAAUUUGAGAUUAAUUAGUUUCUUAACUUAUCACUAUUUCUAAUAUAAUCUUGAAUUCAAAUGCUUUUGUCCUCCUCCAUUUUUCUUUGUGUUAUAUCUCAUUACUAAUUAUUGUCUAACACUAAAUAUUUCUUUCCAAAAAGCAAAAUAAUGUAAAGAAAUUGAAAAGAAACUAAUGUAUACUUUAAAAACAGUAAAAUAGUUUUCAAACAACACAUGUAUGAUUUUCGAAAAUGCUAAAACACUCACAUACAUCAUAUCAUAUCACAUAUAUAUACACAUGCGCCCACAUACUGAUAUAUGUACCGUACAUAUAUAUAUAUGCACAUAUACUUACGUAUACACAUAUACAUUUAAUUAUUUGAAUUAUCUAUUGUAAUAUAAUUCAUAUCCUUUGACUGAUUAUCCUAUUCUCCAAUUAUGGUUGGAUGUAUUGUGAGCGUAAUUACCUUUAAUUUUUCAGUUGGUAUAAAAAAGAAAAAAGCAAUAAGAGAUCAGAAGAAACAAAUUAAUCAAUAUAUUUAAGGAUUUCACAGGAUUAUAGAGAUCGAAACCAAACAUUAAAUAGAUAUUUUUAAGUUAUACUUCAAGAAAAAUAUAGAGCUAGUACAAUAUGUUGAAUUUUAAAAAAUAAUUAACUAUAAACGGAAUAGAUAAUAUAGCAAAAUUCUACUAUUAAUUGACUCACAUUUGGGUCAUGGUUUAUUGUAAUAGAUUUUGGUAUGUUUAUGAUUAUUUUACAAUUUGUUAUAUGUGCUCAUUACUCAAUUUUUUAAACUAAGGUGUUUGCAUGCACGUGCAUUUGUAUCCAUGUUUAAACUUUCACAUGUUUUAUCCCAAUUACCUGCAAGCUCAUAUCUUUUGAAUAUUCUCAGUUUUGUCAUCAAAAUUUGUUAUUCAUUUUUUAAAGCCUUUUUUUUUUUUUUUUGUUAAUCCUAUAAUAAAAUUCAAAUCUACUUUAAAAUCCACACAUUUCACAGUUGGAUAAGCAUAUAUCAACUAUAUACUAUCCCAGAAUGUAUAUACAUGAUAAUAUGUUUGUGUGAUAGGUCUUAUCAAGAAUGCUAACAAAAUCCUACAUUCAUUCAUGAAGGUAGUGAAAAUAGGUAAUAUACGUGAGCGUAAUUAUCUCAAUCGAUAUGACACGUUUUUGGGUGAAACCAAAAGCAAACCCAUGAGUGUAUAUCGAAAGUUGACAAUAUUAUAUAAUUGUUGGAGUAUGAGGAUCAAAAUUUUUGCCCAAUUAGGCGUAUAGAACAAAUAGAUAUAGAAAAAUGUAGAAGUUAAAGUGUGAAUGGCAAUACAAUUCCAUAUACUAAAAUUUUGAUUAAAGUCAUAAAUAACUACAAAUUAUAUGAAAACAUAAAAGCCAAAAUGUGUAGAAAAAAUAAAAACCUUUGAGACUCGAAUCUCCCAUUCUAUAUUGAACUAAAAAAAAUUGUAAAGAAGAAAUACAUGUACAAUAUGAUAGGAUGAAGAUGUACUUUUGAAUUACCUAAGUGUUUGUAGAUGCUCCAAUCUUGCAAGUCUUUGUGUUUGUUGAAGAUGAAUAAUAAUUUGCAAAGAAUUUCUGAAGUUUUUUUUUUUUUUUUUUUUUUGUCAAACAGAAACAAAAGAAAAUAAAAGCUGCUUUCCCUCAGGUUUUUGUGUUAAAAUAUAUAAAGAAAGAGAUAGUGAUGAGGCAGAUUUGAUGUGGAGAGAAAGAAGGAGAAACAAUAACAGAUAAAGAGAUAAUUUAGCUCCAAGACCAUGAGAAUUCAGAAAUUCAUAGGGAAAUUUUCAACGUAAAUCAUCCUUUGUUUAUGCCUUUUCUUAAUAUAACUUUACUCACCUACUUUUUUCCGUUCUUAUUCAAAAUUAGUUCACAUUUUGUUGUUUUUUUUAAUUAUUAUUGAUUUCAUUUGUUAAUUAAUUUAUUCUUAAACUUUAUUUAUCUUUAUUUUUUAUUUAAUUCAUUAUUGUCUUCUUUUCCCCUUAAAGUAUUUUUCCAUCUUUUAUAUGUUAUUUAAUAUUAUAUACUUUUCUUGUUUGUGGUCAAUUUAAUAUGUUAUUGGUAGUAGUUGUCUAAAUUUGUUAACAUUUGAAAUUACUUUUUUUAAAAGAAAAUUAUUGACGGUAAAAUUUAAAAUUUUGAAAGUUCGAAUUUUUAGAAUUCUUGAAAUAGAGUAGACAAUGUUUUUUUAAGUUUGAAAUAGAUUUCGAAUAAUAUUUCUCUAAAAUGUUAGUAAUUUGCAUGUUGAUCAAUGGUUAUGCGUCUCUAUAUGACAAUAUUGGUUGUUUAUAUAAUAUAUUUUGCAUAAUUUCUACAUUUUAUGUUUAAUUUAAUAUUUCUCCUACUUGUUAAAUAUUUUUAGGACAUUUGAAAGUUCUUGUAGUCAAAUGUUUUGUAAUUAAUAAAAGGAACUAAUGUAUCCUUUUAAGACUUUCAAAUUCUUUUUAUCUUUCUAAUAUGCAUAUUCGUUUUAUAAACUUUGGGACGAUGAAAUCUACCUAAAUUUGAGAGUUCAAAUUUUUUAGAAUUUUUUAGGUAAGAAAUUUGUUCUUUGGAGUCCGAGAUCAAACUCUAGAUAAUAGUUGUCGUUUAUAUUAAAUUUUCAAUUUAAAUUUCUUCACAUUUUCAAAUAUUUCCUAAACUUUUGUUUAGAUAACUUGCAAUCUUAUUUACAAUUAUGCAUUUUCCUUAUCAAAAUAUUAAAAAAAAAAAUCAUAUAAUAGAAUAUACGAAAUUUAGGAGUCUGAUUUCUAAGAAUUCUUGAGGUAAGGGAUCAAGUUGUUAGGAUUAGUCCGAGAUUUGAUAGGAAAACAAAUGGUUUUAAUUAAGGUUUUAAAAAACUCUAUUUAUUUAGAAGGCUAUUUCUAUGACGAAUUUUGAGAAAUUGUUAAUUUCUUGAGUUGAGAAUUUUUUUUCAAAAAUAGUAUAGAAUGAUCUUUCACUUAUUUUAUUUGAAGUCAUGAGCAAUGAAAUAAGACAUUUUUAAAAAUCUUAUUUUUCCAAACGACAAUUUCCUUUAAACAAUGAUUUCAAUUCAAAAUAUAAAAUUUGGCCAUAGUUUUCUUAAUGGGUGUUGGAGGAGUGCUAACACAUUUUUCAUAUACAAAUGUUUUCCGAACUCAACCUUAAUUUCUUCAUACCAUUUUUUAUGAUUUUAUUUAAAAUUUGUUUAUUUUAUUUUGGUGUCCAAUCACAAUAUAAAAAAGAUUAAUACUGGCGACUUUUUUGAGGACACUCGUCACACCGUAUCAUCUCAAGAACGUGACGACAAUAAGUUAAAAUACCAUUUUGAUCUUCAAACUAUGAUAUUUUUAUAAUUUUAGACCUCAUAUUUUAAUUCUAAUUUGAAUAAAAGUUCAUUUGUAAUAUAGCAAAAUGAACAAAAAUAUUAAAAAAAAAUAUAGCAAAGUAUAUCACAGUCUAUCCAUGAUGAACUGAAAUAGACCAAGAUAUGUAAACUAUUAUAUGUGUCUAUCUGUAUCAUGAUUAACACAUGUAGUAGUCUAUCGUGGUCUACAAAUAAAUUGUAAUAUUUUGUAAAUAUUUUUAAAAUAUUUAAUUUGUUAUUCAAAUUUUCUUUUUUGUUAUUUUAGUACACCAAUUGUUUCACACCCCACCCCGAAGUCACUCUCUGUGACUAAGGAGAGGCAGGUCGCCUAGACUCUCAGUACGUAACUUCCAACUGAAGAAUGCACUGACUCCCCUAGUGAGUGGUGAUAAACAUAACUAACAAAUCUUAAACACAAAAUGCAGACAGUUAUGAAAUAAAACACUUCAUUAAUUUUCAACAUGGUGAAUACAUUAGAACUUAAUACAAAAUUUCUCCUUGGAGAACAAAAAACAAUUUGGCAACAUUCAAAGUCUUCUCGUGUAACUUCUAUACUACUUGCAAGAUAUAGUGGACACUACCAAGAUGAUGUGAUUGAGGAGGCACGGUAGGCAAUCAAGACAACAAGUUCAACGUCAAAUGUCCUUUGCUACAUGCGACGAGGGGAUAAGACGAGCAUUUAAAAGGUUAGACAAAAUUUUGUCUAGUGAGUAGGUCUUUCGUUUGAUAGUUUCAUAUUAUUCCAAAUGUGGCAGUAUAUAUCAUGUAAUUUAAACCGUAACAAUUAUUUAAUUUCCUCAUCGCGAGCUAUCCCGCAUUGCAUGUCUACUCGUCUACCACAUAUUUAACCUACAAAAUCACUCUGUAAGUUGAAUUAAGUCUUUGUACCAUUUCCUUUGGCUUAAGCUUUUAUCACAAUCUUUUUUCAAGUUGCAGUUAGGCUGAGUAAACUCAAUGCCAUUAGCAUGCCCAACCAAUUUAUCUAGCCAUGUCUUCCAUUGCCAAAUUACACAACAAGCAAGGACAUCCCAUAUCAGUUCACACAGCAAGUAUGUGACAUCCCAUCCAAGAUCACAUAGAAUGGAUGAGGCAUCCCAUCCAAGAUCACACAACAUAGAGGAUGACAUUUCAUUCUAGAUUACACAGCAAGAAGGGAGUAUCAUAACAUAUAGGGUACAAAAGUCAUUAUCUUUUAGUUUUAUGUAUCCCUUACAGUUUAUUCAUUUCUCCCAUUCAAGCAACCAUAGUAGUAUCAGGAUAUGUGCACGCACAAAUAUUUAUAUACAUAUGUGUGUGUGCAUAUAUUUAUUAAAAUGUAACACCUCAAAAGUUAAGGUAAUAUUGAAUUUAAUUAUCUUCAUUUUAUUUAAUUAUGUUGAAACUAUUGAGCAUUAUUUGUUUAGGAAGAAAAUAAUUAUAUUUUGGAUAAAUAUAAUUAUUUCUAAAGGAAAAGAUAAUUACAUUUGUUAAAAUAUAAUUAUUUAAGAGAAAGAUAUUGUAUUUUAGAGAUGAUACAAAAAUAAAUUAUUUGUGAGAGGAUAAUUAUUUGAAGAGAGGAUAUUUGUUUAGGAAAAAAUAAAAUAAUAAGAAAAUAAUUAUAUUUUUGGGGCAUUUUUAAAAAUAGCAAAAUAAAUUAAAAUUGUUUACAAACUAUAGCAAAAUUUUGAAUUCUAUCACUAAUAGUCUUUUAUCACUAUAACAUAUCAAUGACUAUCAGUGAUAGAAUUUGCUAUAGGUUGUAAAUAUUUUGUAAUAUCUACUAUUUUUACAAAUUCUCCUAUAUUUUUUUAUAUAUAAUUAUCUAUAAAAGUACAAUUAUUUUAGUAAAAGAAAAAAGUUGAUUGAAUUUGAUGAGAUUUAAUAAAGAGAGAGAAUAUUUUAUUUCUGGAAAAGAUAAUUAUUUUGGGAAGAUAAAAUUGAUUUGAUGGAUUUAAUCGAAAGAGAAAGUGGGAUUUUAUUAGUUGAAAAAGUAAAAUUAGUUAUAUGAAAUAUAAUUAUCAUUGUUUUGGAUGAUUGAUAUGUUAUGACUGAUGCAACUGAUAUGUUUUUGAUACAUGAUAUAUUAACCACAUGAUUAAGGACGUUAUGAUUAAUAUUCAUGUCAUGUUUAUGAUGUUAUGAUGAUGUUACAUGCUAUGGAUGAGUGUUCUGUUAACUUUAUCUAUUAAGAUUCUAUCCAUAUGAGUUUUCUUCGGAAUCACCAUCUUUUCACAAAUUUAUGAUUGUUUGAGUUCGACGGGACCACCAAUAUGUUAUGAUAACUUUUAUGAGUGAUUCAACGAGGUCACUUACAGCCCGAUAUCACAGGUGUUCCCGAGUCACCGAUAGAUGAGAGUGUUCCUUUGAAAUCACUAGAUUGUGUGUGUUUCAUCGGGCACACAAUAGUUACAGCGCCCCUAUAUCAUAGAUGUUUCUUCAGAUUCACCGACAUAUGAGAGUGUUCCUUUGGGAUCACUAGAUUGUGUAUAUUCCAUCAAGCACACAAUAGUUUCGGAUACCUUUUCAUGAAAUCUUAAUAAAAAGUUAACAGACAGCUAGCGGGACUAGUAUUGGAUCCCUUACUGAGUAUAUUUUAUAUACUUACUAUUUCCUAUAUUUAAUAUUUUAGGCAAAAGUAGAUGAUUCAGAAAGCUAGCGAGCGACAGGAAUGAUCUGUGACAUGUCAUAUGGGAUCACAAUUCUUCUUUCAUGUUUAUGUAUCAGUUUUGCAGUAUUUUAUUUUUAUACAUUUUUUAUUAAAUUUUUAUCCUAUUUAUCAAAGUUUAUUUAAAGAAAUAUUACCUGCGUGGGUCAUGUUUUCACAGCAUUUUACUGAGUUUGAAAAUUUUAUGACUUUGGAACAUUUAUUUAAUAUAUAUUUCGUUAAAAUUUUAGUUUUCUUCUUUUCAACAAAGUGUCAUUUGCUACUAUCCUUUUAGUAAUGACCUUAACUUAAUAUAAAUAGUUGGGUUGUUAUAUCUAAUCUCUUAAGAAGAUCAAAUUCACACUACAACAAAAACUACAUACUACGAUAGUUGUGUAUAUCAAAAAAUAGAAGGGAGGAAAAAAAAACUCACAAAAAGUAAAAAUUCACGUUUUUGCCAGAAAAAGACGAAAUUUUUCGGAUAACACUUUCCGUAGUUAUUUGAUGUCAUAGAAGUUACAUAAAUAAUUUAUUUAAUUUAUUAAAAUAAAAUUAAUUUUAAAUAAAAAUUAAAGUCUAUUAAAGCUUUUUCCCCAAAUCUAAAGUCGUUAACAUUUUCCCAAACCCUCAUAUAUGAACAAGGACAUCUCCUUCUGACCAUCUGCAUUCGACCAUCUUCCGGUGUCGUCACCACCACCGGCCCCUCAUGCCCGUCUCUUCACUCCAAACCCUCACAAAAUGUCUUUGCUUUCGUAUUGAUUCUCUUUGGAAGGAGCGGGUGAAGAAAUGUUUUUUAUGGAGGAAGAUAUGUUGGAUUUUCUUAUGAAACAAUAUGGACUCUGUUUUUAUGGUACCCUUGAGGGAAAUGGGCAUUUGCUAUUGGAAAGUUCUUAUGGCCUCACCAAAUUUGAAUUUACCCACCAUGUGUUUGAUGAAAUUCCUCAAAAAAAAAAAAAAAAAAAAUCCAGUUUUUAAGGUGUUUGUACAUCUAAGGUAUGAAUGAAUGUUAUGUUAGUUUAAGAUGCAAAAAUAUUAGUAGUUGUGUCUUUUUUUAUAUAUAUUUUUUCUUUUUGGCCAAAGCUUUUUUUUGGUUGUAUAUGUUGAUCUUGAUGAGAUUCUAAUGAAUCUUGUAAAAACCUAAUUGUAUGGCAUAUUAAAAAUAUCCUUCUACUUUCUUUCUUGCUUUAAAGAACUUUACUUCACAGAAAAAAAAAAAAGGUAAAAAUCUAGUAAAAGGAACAACAAGAAUUUGGUAUUAUUCUUCAAGAAAUAAAUGAAGAAACUAUUGCAUUCAUAUAUUGAGUGAUAAUUCAUAGUUUCUACAUUUAAUCUUAUUCAAAACACAUAACUAUACAACAUCUAUGAUUGUUAUCUUGGUUUGCCUCAAAGAAUUGAUUAUCAGGAUGCGGAUGCGGCCAUCCCAGCCAUAUCAUUGGCCAUGACACAUGUUGGGGUUGCGGCUGUGGUAGCAUUAAUUGCCAAGGAUAUGGCUUCGCAUUGAACAUUUGUUACGGUAUGGAUUGAAUUGUUCUAAAUUUGAAAUUACAAGACUAAUUUGUUACUAACUUGAGAGUAAAUUGUUGUAUAUUGAUGUUUUAGGACUAAAUUGUUGUUUGUACUCAUUAACUAGCUUGAAUAUAUUUUAUGUUGCCUAUUAGGUAACCCUUGCAUUACUUCUUAGUUCUUAAUUACAACUUCAAAAUCAAAUAAGUCUCCAGAAAAAGCUAUACUCGAAUUGAACGCGAGCCUUGUGUUUCUUUAGGUAUCUCACAUGUAACUUAAGAAUUGAGUAAUUGGUCAGUUGUCUUCCUUACUUGCUGACGUUGGACUUGACAUGGAAGAAACUCGUGCUGAGACAGAGUGUUGUGGUGCAAAUUGUGCAUUAAAAUGGGACCUCGUAUAUUUAGGUCCAUUGCGAAAAAGGUACCAUCAUCUCAGUAUGUUUGUUUAAAGCAUUAUUAUUUUGUAUGUUUGUUGUAUAAAAUGGAGAUGGGGAGGGAGUAAAGAGGUGCAAAGAUUCCGCCAUUUUCUUUUUUCAAAACUGAAUGAAUCCUUUUUACAUCAUCAUUUUCUUCCUGCUUUGGAUUUCUUCUUGAUUUUGAAUAUGAAAUCCUAUGUUUGUGAUUGUAUUUCUGUAAUGAUGGCUUCAAAAUGUAAGUCUAAUUGAAGAAGAUUUUUGAUGUAUAUAACAUACAAAACAAGGAAAGUGAAAGAGUUUUGAAAUUAUGUUGUUAAAAGUAGAGGGUCGAGUUGGAAAGUCGUUAGACUGCCUUAUGAAAAUGGAAAAUUAAUUCCAUGGAAAGGAAACCGAUGUAAUCGAUUGAAGUCUGGUGAAACGGUAAAUUCAAUAUUUGCCAGCAAUGUGGUGUUGCGUUCAGAAAGGCAGCUUACAUGAAGCAACAUAUGCGAAGCCAUUUGCUCGAGGUAUUUUACUUCAUUAUCUGCUUCUUGUUAUAUUUGUUUCCCUCAUACUCACAGUGAGUUCUAUAAAUCCUAGUGAGAGAACUUAUAUGGAAGAAAUGAUACAGGUUGGAAUUUCUACAAUUGAUGUCAUGAAAUCCAUUGCUAGAGGGUAAAAGAUCCCAGUUUUCAUAGUUGAAGUUCAACUACUUUUAUUAUAAAAACAAUAUCCCUUGAUAAUAUCGCCAAAAUAAUUUUCUUCUAGUUUGAAAAUGAGUGAAAUUUAAUAAUACCCUGCAAACAUAACGUUGAGAAGAACAGUAGCACCAACAACAAGUCCAGCAAGUUCACCAAUCUAUAUAUAAAGAUCAAUGAACAUAAAUCGAUUAUUAGUUUAAACAAGAUUCUAGUGAAAUUUAGAGUUAAUCAUAAAGAGAGGAUGAACUAACAACUCUAUUAUGAGUGGCAACACCAGACACUACAAGCAUGAGAUAAAAUGUGAUGAUGAAUUCAAUCACAAAGGUUUGCAGAUAUGAAUCACUUGAGAGAGUCCCUGAAAAAUUAUCUUGGUCUCCAUUAAAUAUUAGCCUAAGUGUCCCAGCCGCCAAUGUUGAUCCAAGAACUUGAGAGAUCACAUAAGCUGAUACCUGUUACAAAAAAUUGAAUUGUUUUGGAAUCAGAAUCAAAUCAGUUAUCAGUACACCCCACUUUGUCUUAUCUGAUUAUGAAUCAUCAAUUAAUGAAAAAAAAUCAGGUUUGGUGAAAAAAAAUCAGGUUUGGUGAAAAAAAAUCCUGAUUGAAGAUUGAAAAUUUUCACAUCUCCAAAGUAACCCAAUAGUAUAAUAAAACCUGGAUGUGAGUGAACCUUCUCUGAGACUUUAGAUCGUGGUAGCGAACUAUUAAUGAACUCCUCUCUUCUAAAUUGUUACUUCAAGUUAUUUAUUUGCUUCUUUUUAUUUUUUUGUGCUUAAGUUUCUAUUUUCAAGUUAAGGCUUUGUGUGUGUUGUCAUUCUAUAGUUGAUAGAUUUUGUAUUAAAUUUAUUUCAUACAUAAGAUUCAUUCAUUUUUAAAUGUUCCAUUGAAACGGAUCUAUACGUUGAUCUUGAGUGCCAGGUUUGUGGUGAAGUUAGACAUUUCCACCAACCAAAUCUAGGUGGUGAUGAAAAUGGAAGAUUUAUGGACUUCAAUUGGUAUUUAAAGCUAAAAAGAAUUUCAAAAGUUUACGAGUAUUGUACAUAUAUAGCUAGUAGUUUUGUUCGUAGACACAUGUAAUCAUAUUACUUUUAUUAGGGUGAAUUAGUUUAAUUUAUGUGUUAGUUGAAAGUUGGGUUAUAAAAAUAUUGAUGUUAUUUUUAUUGUAUUGUACGUUAGCCAGUCAGAUCGUGUUUAUCUUUAAAUGUAAAUUAUGGAAGGUUUAAAACGGUGAAUUGUUAAAACUUUGGACAUCUCACGUUAAAAAUUGAUUUGUUAUUUUAAAAUGUAUGAUUUAUCACGUUUCAUAUCACAUUUAGUAACGAAAAAAAAUUAAAUUAGCACACACGAUAAUUUCUUUCAUUUUGGUUGGGUGACCUACAUUAAAGAAUGUGUCGGUAAAGAUGUUUGAUGUCAGAUUAAAAUCGACUUUAAAAUAAACUAUCAUGUAGUAAAAAACGAAGCAAAAGAUAGACCGACAUUUUAUAUCUUUAAUAACAUCUUCUUUGAUGAUGUUCUCAAUCAUCUAACAUUUUACGUAUGUAUUGUAAGUUUUCAACUAAUAUUAAAAGUCAAUUUUCUUGUAGAACGCAUUCAAAUGCAUUAGAAAUAUUUCUAUUUGCUAGAAGUCGGGAGUUGUUGUAUCAAUUAUAGACUACAUUAGGGUCAAAAAAUUUGGACCUAGAACUCGGUCAUCAGGUAUUGUAUAACCCCACUUUUAAACGUAGAUAGUUAGUAGUAUAUUUUAACUUUCCUAACAAAAAAUAAACAAAUGAAAGGCAAGAACAAUUUAGGUGUCUUUAGUUGUAUAUCAAUUUAUUUUUAUUUAAAUUAUAACAUUGACAUAUUAUUGGCAUAUUUAUGCAUUUCUUUAAAAUGAACUGGUUGAAGUACAUCAAUAAUUAUGUUGCCUAUCAACACCCGUUAAAACUUACCUUUAAGUGCAACAUUGAUUGAAUGGUUACCAAGAAGGUGAAUUGAAAUUCAUUGGUUGAUAUAUAAUUUCAAAUAAAAUUGAAUUUGGAAUGUACUUCAUAAAUAUUACUCUAAAAUAAAUGACGAAUUAGCAUAUAAAUUAAUUCCAAAAAUUAUAAUUAAUCGAUGAAUUUAGUGCAUCACUUGUAAAUUUGAUAUAUCAAUUAUAUAACUAAGGUGCCGAACAUAAAUUAAAUUACAUUAAAUACUUAAAUAAAUUCGCUAGGUUUAGGAUUUGUCUGUUUGGAAAGCUUUGACUGUUGUUGAUAGGAUUAAAUAUCAUUUUUAGGUAAUCUCGAGGUAAGAGAUUCAACUAUUAGACUCAUUUUCCCUCAUCAUGCAUUAAUGACGUACCUAUAAUUCAUGUAAUGUGACUGUUAGGGAUGUUAGAUAAUGAUAUAGCUUCAUAGAAGAUCGUUAUGUAUGACUGAGCUAUGUUAUGACCAAGAUACAUUAUUAAUGAGACAUGCUACAAUCAAAUAUACCAUGAUUGAGAUAUGUUUGACUAAGCUAUGUGAUGACAAGGAUAUGUUAUGAAAUAGUUUAUAAUAUUUAUGUGAUGCUAUAUGUAUAAACUAGGGUGUUGUGUUAGCUUGAAUCACCACUUAUUUAUGCUUGUGUAGUCGGCUUUUAUUUGUGACUCGAUAGGAUUAAUUACUUAUAGUCCGACUCUUCUUUGGGUUCACCGAGAGCCCAUAUGUGUUCCUAUGGGAUCACACUGGAUAGCGUGCAUCAUAAUGACAAUAGUUGAGCCUAGAUGUGUCCCUAGGGGUACUUUCUUAACGGACACGUAGCAGUGGGUCCCUUAGAGUAAAUUUAUACUCACCAUUUUCUAUGCUUAAUUUUUUACCCUUUUCUAUACUUUAUUUUUUCAUGCAAAGGUAGAAAUAGUGGUUGGUGAGAGGGACCGUGGGUGUUUUCCCUGCAUUUAUAUUUUCAAUAUUUAAUUGUCAAAAAUUUAUUUUAUAACACACCAUUACUUUUACAUAUUUUUUUUCUUUUAAAUAGGGUUCGAAGUAAUAAUUUAUUUAUUUAUUCUUUUUAUACACAUUAUUAAUAGUUUUUUUAUGAAUAUUUGAAAUGUUUUUUUUUAAUUUAGUAUUUUCUUUUAUUUGAGAUAAAAAGUAAAAAAAGUUUAUUUAUUUUACUGGUAAUGACCUCAACAUAGUAUAAAGAGUUGAGUCGUUACAAGUACAAACUUUCUUUCAGCACAUAAGAAAUGAAAUGAACAUCAUAUGUUCUACUUAGUUUCUCGAAAUUUCCAAUAAUGAAUACGCUCAUCCUCAUUUGUACUAUUAUCUUUGAGGUAAAUUCCAGUGUCUUCAGCAAUCCAAUUGCAAAUAUUACCAUCACAUUUGACACGCAACCAUCGGGUCUUCUUCUCAACCCAGAAAGCCUCGAACCUUACUUGAUCUCCCUUUGGCUUGCGUAAGUAACACCAGAACAAUGUCGUAUCCCAAAUGUUCACUUUGAAGUUCCACUUGAACUCGGCCCCAGUGCUAAGGGUCCGCUCGCCCAAAUCAGAGUCUUUCGACUUGCAGUGUACGAACAAUGCUUGCCCAUCGCUCAAUCCAUUCUUGAUGUGGAUCUCCCAUGGGCUCAACGGUUUCGAGCAAACCAAGGCCAAGGUCGAGACAGCCAAGAAGACCAAAAGUUGGUCCUUGAAAGAGAUACCACCCAUUGUGUUGUGUUUAUUUUGGUGGAUAUGCUGCAACAGCAGAAGUUUAGAACUUGGUCUAUAUACAAAGAAUGUGUGUGGGAUUGAUGGAUUAUGUUUAAAUGGAAAACUAUUUUUUAUGCAUGGAUUUUACAAAUUAAUGGUUGGUUUUCAAAGAUAUAUUCUAAUUUGAGAUUAAUUAGUUUCUUAACUUAUCACUAUUUCUAAUAUAAUUUUGAAUUCAAAUGCUUUUGUCUUGCUCCAUUUUUCUUUGUGUUAUAUCUAAUUACUAAUUAUUGUCAACACUAAAUAUUUCUUUCCAAAAAGCGAAAUAAUGUAAAGAAAUUGAAAACAAACUAAUUUAUACUUCAAAAACAGAAAAAUAGUUUUCAAUCCACACAUAUAUGAUUUUCAAAAAUACUAAAACACUCACAUACAUCAUAUCAUAUCACAUAUAUAUAGACAGGCACAUAUUCAUAACAUGUACAUAUAUAUAUAUAUAUAUAUAUAUAUGCACAUGUACGUAUACACAUAUACAUUUAACUAUUUGAAUUAUCUAUUGUCAAAUAAUUCGGAUCCUUUGACAGAUCCUUUGAGACUCGAAUCUCCCAUUCUAUAUUGAACUAAAAAAAAUUGUAAAGAACAAAUACAUGUACAAUAUGAUAGGAUGAAGAUGUACUUUUGAAUUACCUAAGUGUUUGUAGAGGCUCCAAUCUUGCAAGUCUUUGUGUUUGUUGAAGAUGAAUAACAAUUUGCAAAGAAUUUCUGAAGUUUUUUCUUGUUUUUUUACUUUUUUUUUUUUUUUUUUUUUUUUUUUUUUUUUUUGUUAAACAGAAACAAAAGAAAAUAAAAGCUGCUUUCCCUCAGGUUUUUGUGUUAAAAUAUAUAAAGAAAGAGAUAGUGAUGAGGCAGAUUUGAUGUGGAGAGAAAGAAGGAGAAACAAUAACAGAUAAAGAGAUAAUUUAGCUCCAAGACCAUGAGAAUUCAGAAAUUCAUAAGGAAAUUUUCAACGUAAAUCAUCCUUCGUUUAUGCCUUUUCUUAAUAUAACUUUACUCACCUAUUUUUUUCCGUUCUUAUUCAAAAUUUAGUUCACAUUUUGUUACCAAUCCAUAUAGAAAAUUUCCAAUUUCCAUAAUUAAUCAUAUAUGCUUCCAUAAAUAUUCAAUUAAUUCUAAUCUUCACAUCAAACAAACAAAUCUAUCCGUUUAUCUAAAAUAACAUUCAAAUAAUUUCAACUAAAUUCAAUUAAGACAAUUACACUUAAAAGUACCUUAAAUUUUGGAAUCUUACAUAUAUUAUAUAAACAACCAAUAUUGUCAUCUAAACAAGCAUGAUCAAUGAAUGUAAAAAUCACAAAAUUUUAGAGAAAUAUUACCUGAGAUGAUGGAUUGACUGCUAAUCUCAAGAAUUUUAGAAAUUGGAACUUUUAAAAUUUUAGAUUGGCUGAUCCUUUUAUAAUAAAAGAGCGAUAAUUUCAAAUGUUAACAAAUUUAGACAAUUAUUAGUAAUAACACAUUAAAUUGACCCCAAAAUAAGAAAAAUGUAUAAUAUUAAAUAACACACCAAAGAUGGGAAAAUACCAAAGAAAAAAAAAAGACAAUAAUCAAUACUGUGAAAAAAGAAGACAAAAAAGGAAUUAAAUAAAAAAUAAAGACAAAUAAAGUUUAAGAAUAAAUUAAUUAACAAAUGAAUUUUUGGUGAGAGUUAAGGAUUUUGAGUAUAUAUAUAUAUAUAUGUUUGCCAACUUAGGAAAAGUUUGAUAAAAUUAUAUUAUUGGAAAUAAUAUAAUUAGUAUGAAUAAUAUAUAAUUUUGUUAUAUCUUGGAAAAAGUAUAAAAAAUUGAAAUUGAUGAGUUGUUAAAUCUAAAUUGCUACAUUUAGGUUGAAUUUAAUAUUUCUCAUAGUUGUUAAAUCUUUUUAGGACAUUUGAAAGUUCUUAUAAUAAAAUGUUUUGUAAUUAUUAAAAGGAACUAAUGUAUCUUUUACGACUUUCAAAUUAUUUUUAUCUUUCUAACCUGCAUAUUCAUUUAUAAAAUUUCGGACACCCAAUAUAGUCCAAUUUUCUAGAAUUCUUAAAAUAAAAAAAUUGAUUCUUUUAAGUCCAAACAUCGAUCUCUAAAAAAGAAGAGAAGAAAGAAAUUCUAUAAUGAAAUCUAGGAAAUUUAGGAGUAUGAUUUCUAAGAAUUCUUGAGGCAAGGAAUCGCGUCGUUUUCGCAUGGAUUGAUCUAUUAAGGGGCUAGGGGGUCACGUGACCCCUUACAUUCUCGAUUUUUGUAUUUUAAUAUUAAUUUUGAAUAAUUAAAUUACAAUAUGUGUUAAUAAUGAUUUGUGUUGCUAUAUUUUACAUUUGGUAUAGUAGUUGUGCCCCCCUUUAAAACCUAGGGUCUUUGUUUAAAUCUCAUGUACUACAAUUAUUUUUGUUAAUAGUGCCCCCUACAUAUGAUUUUUGGAUAUGCUACUCGUUUGGAUUAAUUUGAGAUUUGAUAUGAAAAAAUUGGUUUUAAUUAAUGUCUUAAAAAACACUCCUAAUGUCUUAAAAAAUACUCUUUAUUAGAGGGUUAUUCCUGUUACGAAUUUGUGAGAAAAUUUUCCUCAAUAUAGUUUAAUUGAUGGAAUGAUUUUCACUUUGAAGUCACGAGCAAUGAAAUAAGACAUUUUUAAAAAUUUUAUUGCUCCAAAUGAUCACAAUUUCCUUUAAAUAAUAAUUUCAAUUCAAAAUAUAAAAUUUGGCCACCGUUUUCUUAAUGGGUGUUGCAUGGGGGCUAACACAUUUUUCAUAUACAAAUAUCUUUCGAACUCAACUCUAAUUUUUGCACACAAUUUUUUAUGAUUUUGUUUAAAGUUCGUUACUUUAUUUUGGUGUCCAAUCACAACAUAAAAGAGAUUAAUGGUGGCAACUUUUUUGAGGAUGCUCAUCACUCUGUAUUGUUUCAAGAACGUGACGACAAUAAGUUAAAAUACCAUUUUGAUUUUCAAACUUUGAUAUUUUUAUAAUUUAUUCCUCGUAUUUUAAUUCUCCAAUUUUGGUCUUGUAGUUUGAACAAAAGUUAUUUUUCUAAUAUAGCAAAAUGAACAAAAAUAUUUAAAAAAUAUAGCAAAAUAAAUCACAGUUUAUCCAUGAAGAAGUGAAAUAGACCAAGAUAUAUGGACUUAAAAUAUUUUUACAUUAAACCUUUGCCAACGUCCUUACACGCAACAUCGACAAAUGUUGUAUUUUAAUAAUAGCAUUUAAACUGUUGUCGAUGUCUUGUUGUAAGUGCAUCAGCAAAAGUUGAAUAAUUAAUGCGUACAGUUGGACUUUCCCCGACGCAUCACUAAGUUCGUCGGUAAGUCGAAUAAUAUUUUUAAAUUCGUAUCUUUUGUCGACGUGGUAAAUGCUAACGUUGACAGAAGUUUAAGUAAUCAAUGAUUACGGUUGGACUUUUCUCGACAAUCACUAAUGACAUCGAGGAAAGCUAAAAGGGUCGAUGUUUUCAGAUUGCGUCGGCUUUUCCCCUCCAUAUUUGUUCUAUUUUACACCGAACACACAAAAUGUAAAAGAGAAAAAAGAAAAAGACACUACAAGAAAUACCAGUUACGAUAGCAUCAAAAAAACGCUAUUGUUGACUUUCGGUAGUGUUUUUGAAAUGUUGUCGUAGCCGAUGUUAAUAAAAGUUCAUGACUUUCCAUAGCGUUUUUACAACGCUGUCCAAAACGCUAUAAUAUGUCUCUAUUGAUAGCACAUAUAUGAUGCUAUAAAUGCUUUUUUCAACGUGAAGAAAAACACAAUUGAAAAUUGGAUAACAUUUUUUAUUGCCUUGAAAAAUCAUUAUCAAAAUAUUUCAAUAACGUUUUCAAUAACAUUUUGGAAAAGUUCUACAAAUUAAAUACAUUUUAUAGUGUUUUCUAUUGUGUUCGAAAAGCAUUAUCAAAACGUUUCAAUAGCUACUUUAACAAGAUCGAAAAAACAAUAUCAAAAUGUUUCAACGAAAUUUUUAAUAACAUUUGAAAAAUGUUAUAAAAGACUUUUUGUAGCGUUUUUUAUUACGUUUGGAACAAACGUUAUCAAAACUGUUCAAUAGCUAUUUUAAGAACAUUGGAAAAAAUGUUAUAAACCAUUUUUUACGCGAUUUAUGAAUGUUAUAGUAGCAAGAAGUCCUUAACUUUUAAUAGUAAUUUUUACACAGCUAUUAAUAACAAUAAAAAAAUUGAUAUAUUAUAGCUUUAGUUCACUAUUAUGGAAACGUUUCAUGAUAUUGAAAGUAUCAUAAAAGAAUGUUAUAUAACAAUAAAUUGACUAGAUAUGUUAUCGAAGGUCUCUUGUUUUUAUUAGCAUUAUUCAUUGUAAUGAAAAAAAGUUAUAAAUACUCAACUUUUACACAAACAUUAUUGUUGAUUAACCCUCCAUAGCAUUUAUGGAAUAAUACAUACAUAACUAUAAUUGAUCUAAUAGAAUAUUGUCGAAUCAAAUUAUAACUAUACUAAGAAGGUAUAAUUAAUAUUCAUCCAAAUCUACUAUCAUAAUUAUAAUCAGAUUGUCGUUCUUAAUCCUAAUUGGAUAUUAUGGCCUAGUUUAUGUUAGCAAUUUGCAUUCUUUCUAUUUCCACAUUUGAACAAACUAGGAAGCUAAAUGAUUAGAACUUAAUUCAAUUUUAAAAUUUAUAAUCUCACAAUGUUUCUUUGAUUGAUAUGGAAAUUUGCUUGCAUCUUUGUCAAUUUGUCCACUUAAGAUGAUAUGCUUCAUAAGAUAAUUUAAAUACGUCUUCCAUCGUCUAAUAAAAACUAAAUAUAGAGGAUUUUCCAAACUAAAUAUAGCACAACAUGCAUCUGUUUCUUUCAUACUAAUUUUUUUCUUAUUUCUCUCGGUGCUAUUUUCUUGUUACUAAGAUGAUCUUUCAAGAAGUAGAAAAAUGUGGGAAUGAUGUGCAAGCCAUUAUCCUCAUAGAACUAGGUAGUGUCCCCACAGGUAUUCUUCGUGGAAAUUGAUUUGCUUUAGAAAUGUUCUUUAGCUGUACUGUAAUACGAGAUUUUGUUUUCUUACUAGGUUUGGAAGAAUUCAUUAUAUUGAAACAGAAAAGCCAACUUGGAGCAAUUAACUGAUAUAAGAAUUUUUGUAUGGUUAGUAGCAAAAUCUUGGUUCCAAUGUACUUAUUUUAGGCUUGUUGGUAGCUAAAGAUGUCAAUGUUUAUUAUUUCACUACUACAAAAUCGGUCUUAGUUGACGCUUAAAAACUGUCAAGUAAAGGUUUAUUUGACGCUUUUAAAAGUAGUGUUAAGAAUAAGGAAGGUAUACUUGACUGGUUUUAAACGUCAAGUAAAGCCAGUUUACUUGACAGGUAAAAAACGUCAAGUAUUUGAGAUUACUUGACGCUUUUUAAGCGUCAAAUAAUCUAGUGUCAAGAAAAAGAAUGAUUUUGUUUGACAUAUUUGAAGCGUCAAGUAGAGUUAUACUUGACUGUUUGUAAACGUCAAGUACAUGUCAUUUCUAGACAUUUUUUGCACGUCAAGAAUGUAUGUACUCUUGACAUGUUUUGCAAGUCAAGUUUUUUUUUCUUCUAAAAAAGUUAUAUAUUUUAAAAUAUCUUCAUAAUGUUUCGUGCACCUGUUUUGAAGCCGAACAUAUUCAAUUAGUAUAUAAGUAAAGCAAGAGACACUACUACAAAACUAAUUUUACUUGACACCUACAGUUUUGAUAUAUUCUUGACAGCUUUAAUAAAAUCCGUUAAGUAGAAGAAACAAAAAGUCAAAAAUAACAAAAAGUGAAAAAAUGCCUAAUUUCCUAUUUUUUAUUUUCACUCCUUCACAGAUUAAAAGCGUUAAUUACUUUGCAUUUUUUAAACGUCAACUAAUAUGUUUUUUUCUCUAUUUUUUAAAAAUAAAACCUUUUCUUUUUUUUCCUCAAAUUUUCAUUUUUCUCUCAUUUCUAAAAUUAAAAUUUUUCCUCUUUUUUUUUCCCUAAAUUUUUCCUUUUUUUCUCGUUUUCCCCUAAAAUUUUCCAAAUUUUUCUCCCUAUCCACGAUUUCUUCAUACUCUUCACAAAUUUCUUCAGCCCAUGACCUAAUUCCACCCACUACUAUCUUCUUAAUCCCCUUUUCUUCAAUGGGUUUGCGUUCAAACCCUACUGCAACCCUCUCUCUUCUUCUUUUCUCCUCUUCCUUCUUCUUCCCUCUCUUUGCCUCCGUUCAGGUAUUCAUCUUACAUUUCUCUUCUCUUUUGUUUUUUUAUGGCGUUCUUAAUGGGGUUUGAUUUUUAUUGCUUCUUUGGUGUUUUUCAGGUGUAUUCUGCGGAAGUGGAGAAAGAUGAGUUGGAUGGACCUAAAGAUCUCGGUCGAUGUAGCAAGGUCAGUACAAUUCCUUGUCGGCCAUGGCUAGAGGUUGGUUUGGGGUUAUAUUGAGAUUGAGAUCUUUGUGCUUUUUGACUUAAUAGUUUUCCUUCUUGUACAUUGUUAAUAGAACUAACUAUUGUCUAUUGAGAUAUACUCUUGAGCUUUCAAUACCUUCUACUACCUGCUUGUGUAUGAAAAUAAAAAAAACCAAUUGUAAUUUCGGGGGACAGUGAGGAAGAUGGUAAUGAUUUUACUAGGUGGUGCUGGUUUUGUUUUUGAAGAAUUUGAAGAAGGCCAACUGACUUGGGUUUAGAAUUAUCCGACUUGAAGAAAAAUCAAACUAGCGGAAGCGUUGAAGCCUGGGUCUAAACCUCGCACUUGUUUCAUUCUAGCCUAAGAAAGGAAGGAAGGAAGAACGCGCCUGCGAAUUCAAAUGAAAAAGAGGUACCUGAGGAUCUAAGACGGCCAGAAACGGGCGGUUUGGGGAUUGUGGGAGUGGAAGAGGAAUAGGAGAGAUAAAGGAAUGGUUUGGCGCCAUUGGGAAAGGGGUUUGCGUGAAAGGGAUGAGGGUUUGAGUGUAAUUGGGAAAGUUAUUUAUUAAAAUAGUAACUUAGUUUAAUUGUUUACUGUUAUUGUAUGCAUUUAUGAGAACAAAUAAACGUUUUUUUACUGAAAAAAAAUGCGAAUUUUACAUUUAUGAUCUUAUUUUUCCUCUCCCUUUUAAAGUUGUAUAGUAAGAUUAUUGUACCCCAUUUUUCUUUUGGCGUGAAGAAAAGAACACAAGUAAUAGUAAUGUACGUAUAACUAAUUCACUUUUAUUUAUUUCAUAUAAUAAAGGUAAGUCCAAUGUAUGUUAAAAGAUAUAUCAUACACACUAUGCUUUUUUCCAUUCAUGAAUCUUUUCAUCGAUACUAUCUGGAAUAUUUCUCAAGUAAAUUCCAUCAUCUUUAGCUAUCCAGUAACAAGUUCCUUGAUCUAAAGUGCACCUGUAAUGAAGCCAAUAAUGUUGAGUUUCAUGCCAAAACACCUCAAAAGAGGAAAAACUACCAUUUGGUGUCCUCAUAAAACACCAAAACAAAGUUGAACCAAAAACAUUUUCCUUGAAACUCCAUUGAAUUUCAGAUCCAUGAUCAAUAUAUUGUUCUCCAAUAUCAGUAUCUCUUGAUUUACAAUGAGCCAUUAAUUUUCCAUUGCUUAGUCCAUUAAUCACAUGGAUAUGCCAUUUAUUAACAAUUGCUGGUGGAAGAACAGCUCCCACAAAGAAAUGUUGCUGAUGAAGAACAACAAAUAAUACAACCAAAUAACUCAAAAUUCUACCCAUUUCUUUCUCUUUUGUAUUCUAGUUGAGAUAUUGUUGGGAUAUAUGAAUUGAUCAUAUUGUACUAUUUAUAUAUGAAUUUAUCACCUUGCAUGCAAAGGAAAGAAUUUAAUUAAUUAUCUUUAAUUGUCAUUAAUCUAUCUCUUCGUUUAUGUAUUUGAAAACUAUGGUAUUGGAUUUAAUGUGGUCAAAGAUGAUUACGAACUUUUCAGAUACAAUAUUUAACCUUUUUCAUUUAUGGUAAAAUAUUUAUAGGUUUAUUAAUUUUAAUUUGAUAGAGUUACGUUUACUACACAUCGGUUACGGAUAAGAAUUCCGAUUUGUAUUCACUAUCUUUAUUUGUAUUGAAAUAACGACUAUAAGUUUUAAACAUUACAAUUAAGUCAAAAGUGUAUGGCAGUAUUUUAAAAAAAUUGUACAUGUAGGAAACAUCUCAAAACUUAUAUGGUUGAGACUCUCCCCAAUUAAAAUCAAUAUUAUUGUUAUAUUUAUAAUGUUUUAAAAUAUUUUGCUACAUAUGUCAGUACUUUGAAUCUAAAUGGUAUAUUUACAACUAUCCUUAACUUAAUCAUUUAAUUUAUUAUUGUACAAAUUAGUAGAUGGUCACUUUUUGUAAACAAUAACAUGUAAUUUGAUUAGUUGAUCUCUUGUAGAGGGUGCAUUUACAAUUCAUUUUGGAUGGUUAGAAGUGAUUUAAUUAUAAUGUUUGGUAAAACAAAUUCGUAAUAAAUCUCUAUUACGAAUAAAUGGUAUUAAGAAUAAAUGGUCAAAGUUCAAUCAUUUUUUCAAUUUUUAAUUAUAAAUUUUAUUCUUUUAUUAAGGAGAUAUUUUAAAAAAUAUAACAAAUUGAAAAAAUAUUUAUAUUGUUUAUAAUAAUUUUGAAAACGAAAAAAAUCUAUAGACCCACAAUGUAAAAUACCAAAAUUACUUCAGUCAACACCCGAUAAAUUAGUCAUAUGCACGAUACAUGAUAGUGUAAUGUAGAUUUUUGUACACGAUCAUUUAGAUUUGGCUACAAGAUUGUAAGACCCAAACUUUAGGUAUCUUAUAUUUUCCAAAGAGUUUAAUAGAUUUGGAAGAAGGAAAUUAUUGGUUAAGUAUCAAAGAAUAGUACUUUAGGCGUUUUGACUAUUUAAGGUUGGCAAGAAAGAGGGAUCAUAGAGGUUAGGCAUUUUAGCUAACUCCAUAAAGGAGUUUCUGACAACUGACUAGGGCGUUUGCACUCAAAUUGGUCUUGAAAGUUUAGAAUUUGAGUCUAGUUUAUUGAGAAAAGCUUAUGGGCAUUUUGGAUAUGAGAAACUUGGCAUCUUGGAUAAGAGAAGUCUAGAAGGUCAGUUCGCGAGUGAACCUGAGUAAGACGCACUCCCAGAAGGCUACAGAAUGCAUACUUUGGCGUUUUGGUCUGAACUUUUGUGGUAAGAACAUUAACUCAUUUUAGAGAAACUUUGUAGAAGGAAGUUUGAUCAAAUGAGUUGCAAAUUUUAAGUUAUAACAUUUCUAAGUCGGGUUAUAUAGUUUGGGCGAGAAGUUAGGCAAGAUGGCCUUGGAAGUUAGCUAUGCGUUUUGGACAACUAUGUUGCAGGAUAAGGGCAAGCGGUUUAAGGUUAGUGAGGUGUAAAGUAAGCAGGAAGUGCCUUAAGAAGGUUGAAGGUGGAUUUAAGCAAGGAUGAGGUGAUAACUUGUACUCAUGCAAGGAACUCUAUAAAUAGGUUAGCUUCAGUAUUGAGUUUCUCAUAAUCCACUUAAGCGUUUUUGAGUGAUUUUAUUCUCAAAUAUUUCCAUUUUGAGUCCAUUUUCUAUAUUAGGGCUGCUAGUUUAAUUUAGGAAAGGAAAAGUUGAGUUUGAGUUAAAAGAAGAGAGGAAGAUCAUUCUUGAGUAAAAACAAAACAGUCUUUACUCCAAGGAGGUUACAAGACGCAUUUGGUUGAAUCUUUUGGUGAAAAUUUUAAGGUAAUAUUACUAAGAUAAUUUGCAACAACUUUGUAGAACGAAAUAUUUUUAUUCAAGUUCUGGAUUUUAAGUUAUACAGCUCUAAAGAAGAAGUUGAGUUCUCGUCAAGAAUGAGGUUUUGGGCACUGGCCAAGUUUAAGAAAUUAACAUGGCAUGUUGGGCAUGCGUUUUGGUUUUAGAAAGGUUUUUCUAAGAAUUUUGAGGUUGUGUUUGAUAUUUUAGAAUAAAAGGGAAUUAAUUGGAGUUGUCUUCCAUCAUUUCAGAACAAGAGGAAAUCAGACAAGCAUUUCAGGCAAGGGUUGAUCUACGAUCUAUGAGUAGUUUUCUUAAAUGCUUUAUGUGAUUUCACUUUAUUAUUUUGAAGAAUGAUUUCAACGACAGAAGAAUUUCGAAAAUGGUUUAUUUGGAAAAUUUAUGUGUUUCAAAUGUGAUUUAUAAUGGUGAAAGCUUGAUUUGGUAAAAGUAUGAUUUAAUGCUAACUUUUAUGUGCACAUAAAGAGUCAAGGUCAUCAUGCGGUGUACAGACCACAUGAUGAAAAGCGGACUUAUGCAUUGAAAGAAGCAUAUAAAGCUUAGUGAUCUAAGAAACAAUGAUGAAUCUGUAUGUUCUCAGAUGUUGUUGAUACAAUAGUCAAACGCGAGGUAAUGCGACCAAGCGUAGAGAACGAUUCGAGAUCAUUGGCGAAAAGAGUAUUUGACUAAUGUUUGUUUAUGUGAUUUGAUUGUGAAGCAUAAAGAAAGGUUUAUGCAGAAUGAAAUGUUUUGAUGUUAUUGAUGUUCGUAAAAAGGUAUUGCGAAAAGGUUUUCAUAAAACCUCACUAAAUCUUUUAGACUUAUGCAUUAAAAUUUUACCUUACAGGGUUUAGUCGUUGAGGCCAAAAAGGAAGGGAAGUUUGGGCUUGCUAGGCGAGAAGUUGUCGGACGUUUAAGUUUAAGGCUUAGUUUUUAUUGUUUGGUGAACUGUUGUAUCAUUAUGUACAUGUUCUUGUACUAAACGCGUUGUUGAGGAAUAAAAGUUUAAAGUUGUUUUAUUUUUUCACAUUAAGUUUUUUUCGCCUAAAAGAUAUUCAUGAAGUUAAGCAAUUUGGUGGUCAAGUUAAGUUAAUAAAGUGAAGAGGAGUGUCUUUGGAGUUUAAUCGUGUCAAGGAUACUUGAGUCCCACUGAGUCUACGAGACAAGCAAGUAGGUUUGCAAGGCGAGGUGUGACAACUUGGUAUCAAAGCAUGAUUUUGAAAAACCUUGUUGGUAGAGGUUAGGCAUUUUAGCUAACUCCGGAAAAGAGUUUCUGACAACUGACUAGGGCAUUUGCACUCAAAUUGAUCUUGAAAGUUCAGAAUUUGAGUGUAGUUUAUUGAGGAAGGUUGCUUGAUAUUUUGGAUAUGAGAAAGUUGGCGUUUUGGACAAGAGAAUACGAGAAGGUUAAUUCGUGAGUGAAUCUGAGUAAAACACACUCCCAGAAGAGUACAGAACGCAUUGCUUGCCGUAUUGGUCUGAAAUUUUGUGCUAAGAAAGUCAUCUCAUUUUAAAGAAACUUUUAGAAGAAAGUUGGAUCAAUAGAGUUACAGAUUUUAAAGUAUUACAUUUCUAAAUCGGGUUAUGUAGUCGGGGGAGAUGUUAGGCGAGAUGGCCUUGGAAGUUAGCUAUGCAUUUUGGACAACUAUGUGAUAUGAUAAGGGCAAGCGAUUUAAGGUUUUAGUGAGGUGUAAAAACCUUGUUAGCAUGCAUUUUUAGGUGUAAAGUAAGCAGAUUUAUAAUUGGAGUCAAUUUAUCCUACAUAAUGGAACCAAUUAACCCUUCACAUCUCACGAUUUCAAGAAUACUCCACAAGACUUUGAUUUGGAUGUGAGGAUCAAUCCUUAAAAGAAAAAAAAUGGAGAUGAUGAUAUGGACCAACCAAAUAUCAAAUUAUUAAUUAGAUUUUAUUUAAUAAUUGUGAUGUAAAAUUUUAAUAUUUUCUAGUUUUAUCAUUUUUAAAAACAUUUAACUAGAUUUAGUUUAGUUUUUUUUCAGAGUGCAUUAAGAUUUUUUACUAGGAAGCUAUUUAACCUUGCCUUUAGGUUGUUUUAAUUUAGUUUUUGACAAUUGAAGUUUUAGGGUUUUUCUAUCAAUAGGAAUUCUUUAGUAGAUGACAGAGUCUCAACACCAUUGUUUGGCAAUUCUUGAUUUUGGAUUGCAUGUCAAGAACAUCCAGAUAAGUUUGAUCACCUUGCUUGUAGAUUGUUCGAACUUGGAGUGAAAAAUUGGUUCUUCUUAUACUUUGGUCUUCAAUCGAAAGGUAAUCGAAAUAUAAUCUCCCUUUCCUUGAGUAGUUGUCAAAUUCAUUUAGGGGUUUUAGAAUUUCAUAUUAGGAGUUCACCAAUUGGGUUCUUAAUUAUUAAAUCCUAGGAUUUUCAUAUAAUUUGGUAUCAGUGCAUAGACUCUAUAUUGGGUGUAUAUUUAAUUGAUUUCUUGCAUGAAAUCGUGAAAGUCGUUUUAAUUUAUUUCUACUUGCUCUACAUUGGGUGUAUAUUUAAUUGGUUUCUUGCAUGAAAUCGUGAAAUAAAAAGAAUAGAAAAAUCGCAGUUUGAGUCGUUUUAAUUUAUUUUCUAAGUAGAUCAAUAGAUGUCGCUUCACACCCUCCAACGAGUCCCAAUUUAAAUUCAUAGAUUUCUUGCAUGGACACCUUAUUUGUUCGUAAUUAUUGAAGUGAUAUUUUGCAACCUCUAAAAAUUGGAAAAUUCCUUCUUUGUACUCAAUAGAAAACCUAUCACUAAGUUUCAUCCAACUCUUGUCCAUCUCGUUAAAAGCCCUAACACAUAAAUAUGUUGGAUUAGUUUUAUCUCUCCUCUCAAAUACUCCAACUUAAUCUAUGAAUAAGUUAUGUCCAAUCUCCCAUUGAUUACAAACUAUCUAACAUUUUAAAUAUACCUAAUCUCAAAUUCAAUGAACACCCCUUUCAAAUACGUCAACCUUUUUAAUUACAGGCUAUCUAACAUUUUAAACACCCCUAAUCUCAAAUUCAAUGAACACCCCUCCCAAAUAUGUUAACCUUUUUAAUUACAGACUAUCUAACAUUUUAAAAAAUUCAAAUUGAAACCGGAAUUGGAAUUCAUAUUUAAAUUGAAAUUGAAAUUCAUAUUGAUCAUAUUCAAAUGAAAUUUCAAUUUCAAAUUAAAUGACAAUCUCGAAUUCAAUAAACACCCCCAAUCUCAAAUUCAAUAAACAACUCCCUCCCCCAACCUUAAAUUCAAUAAACAACCACCCUAUAUUCAAUAUAACCCCACAAAUCUCAACAAUCACAAAUGCAAUAAUAUUCCAAAAUACUCAACAUCAAUUUUAAAUUCUAAAUCCUAAAACCAAUUCAAAUUUAAUACUAAAAUCUAAAAAUAAUUUAAAAUUUGAGAUUAAAUUCGAAUACAUACAUUAUGUCAAAACAUAAUAUCAAUACAUACAUAAAAUUUUCUAAUACUUAACAUACAUUUGAAUAUAAAUCCUAAAAGCCUACAUUAUAUCAUAUACAUUCAAUUUUCUAAUUAAAACAAAAGGAUAAACGAGUGGAAAUGGAGGAGUUAGCUCGAUAUGUAAAUGUAGAUGUCGGAAAUUCUCUCCUAAGUCGAUGCCAGCAACAUUACGUCGGAAUUGGUAGGUGAUUGUCAACGCAAUAUUUCCCAACAUCGUUGCUCGCGUCGGGAUUCCUUCGACUCCUUGUAGUGGUAGAGGGGAUCACUAUGUAAAAAUAGGGUAGUGAACUCCAAGACUAGGUUAAGUCAUGGACCUUGUACACGACAACGUGAUAACGUGAAGAAAGGACCAUUAUUACAACCCUUUUUGUUAGAAUAAUGGAGUAAAACACAUAAUGUGAUGAUAAGAACGCAUAACUUAUGUUGUAAAUGCAUAAAUAUUAAGAAAUAUAGCUUACAUAAAUGUCGUUCCUAUUUUACACGAUUAUCAUGUUUAAAUGUAUGACAAGUUGGAAAAGAAGAAAGGAGCAGCUCACACAUGACAUCUUGCGCAAAUGCAAUGUGAUGGAUGAUGCUUGGCGAUUAACAACCUCGGACGAUAAACCUAAACAUUACGCGAGGAAAGCUUACAAAAGAACAAGAAUGGUAGUUGGAAUGAUUUGACUUCAUCGGAGUAGAUGACAGUGCUGACACACUCAGAGGAACAACAUUUUCCCGUCGAAAAAGUAGCUUGUACAAGCACUUCAUCUCCCCCGAGAGAAAAAGAGGCCCGAAUAGGCCCGAAGCUUGAAUAGGUCAGAGAGAAAGAGAGACUCAAAUGGCCGGAGAAAAUUACAAAGAGAGAGAAAGAGCUCGAACAAAAUACCUGGAGAUCACACAGGCGUGAUAAAAAAAAAUAUUUGUAGUUGAUCUUCGAACUUGUAUCAUUCUUAUAUCUUUCCAUUUCAUAUUUCCCAUUCUUCUAUAUUUCCAUUUCUUAUUUCAUUGUAGUGUGUCUAUUGUUCAUAUUGUACAGUGACCAAAGACCUAUAUUCUUUAUAUAUAGACUACAUAUUCAUACCUCUUCAAUCCACCAUUCUUAACGUUUCAUCUAUCUUCGUGUUAUUAAAUGAGAAGAGUUGUGAUAAGUUCUUGAUAAGGAGUUCAACUUAUAAUUCUUUAUCACAUUAGUUGAAUUAUGUUCGUCACUUGGCUAGUGUCAAUCGCCAACUACCCGAGAGGGCAAGUAGCAAGGAUAAGGUUAAUGCACAAGAAGGAGUUUGGUGACAAAUUUCACCUUAGCGAGGUAGCUUCCAACAUUUGUAUCCCGAAAGGUGAACAAGUGCGGACAAUAGGAACUGAGAGAUUGUCGUCCUUAAACGAGAAUUCCUACGAGUAUUACAAGACAUGAUCUCUAGGUAUAAUUUGCCUAAGCAAGCAUAGUCAUUUGUAUUUUGAAAGGCAAACCAGUGUGGCGUUUAAACACUUCGAGAGAAGGUCGCCUUAAUCAUGUGCCCGUUAUUCAAUUAUAAUGCGUUAAGGUUAUCACAACACCUAAGCAUAUAAUAGUACAUAAAAUUUCCUUCAACCGUCAUCUGCAUACAAGUUAGUUGAACUCAUUCUCCCUUAGCUUAAUUUACUCUUUAUACAUGAGUCUCGAGCUGUAAAUAAGUAGUUGUAGUCAACAUUACAUUCCUUCAAUUUAAUUUCCUUAAAGCCUAAACUAUAAGUGGAAUCUAGAACUAGCAUCUCUAACAAUUCCUUGUGUUCGAUCCUAGAUCACCCAAGUAAACCUACUAUUCACUUGCACUUAGGCGAGCAGUAGAAAAACUUGUACCCAACAAGGACUUAAGAUCUAUGCGAUGAAGAAGUACAUGAGAGCACUUCAAAUGCAGUGACCAUGAUUCAUGACUCAUCACCCAAGAUUAUAAGCAAGCAAUAUUGAAAGUUAUGAGAAGUGUAUUAAGCACAAUGACCUGACUUAGUGAAGUAUUGCUAUAAUAACUUUUACAAACACAACCAUUGAAUCUAAGUCCACGAGAUAAAUAAAUUCUCACAACCACAAUGCAUUGAAGUCCUGUACCUUAUAUACGACUCUGCUGAGCUGUCAGUUCUCUCUAUCAGUCAAUGUUGCCAUGUUGUCUGACAUACAAGAAAGUUGUGGAUCGGGUCCACAAUUUUAAUGCCUUGUCAUAUAUCUGAUUCACGACUUCAAAUAGUAUUCGAGCACAUGGUACACGACUUCUCUCACAUAAAAAAAAACCCCUUUCAUCUCUUUCCGAAGAACAGAAGGCAAAAUUGUUAUGUUGUUUUUCCUUUCUUCCUUUGUCGCUUCAUUCUCUUCUUCCGUCGCUGCAACCAUCAUUUCCUCUUUGUUUAUUCAUAAAUAAUUUUUAAUAUGUUAUUUUGUAAAAUAUUGGAAAAAAAACAAUAGUGAAAUCGUGAGCACUGUCCAUGACUAGGUUAAGUGUAUUUUUUUUUUAUAUAUAAUGUAAAUGUAAUUAUUGUUUGAUUUUAUCACUUAAUGUAUAUUUUAUGGCUUAAAUUUUAGUGGAUUGAUAUGUAAAUUUAGGGUUUAUAUUCAUAGUAUUGUACUCUGUAAUGAUUUGAUUUUAUGAUUUUGCAUUUUUGUUUCAUAAAUAGAGGAUUCAUUAUUUUAUAGAAGUUUGGGCUUGAUGUAUUGAUAUGUAAAUUUUUAAACUUACAAUAUUUUGUUAAUGCAAACUUAGAUUGUUUAAAUUUGGAGUUUUGACUGAUUAGGCAAGUAAGCUUUGUUUGAUUAUACUAUUGUUGAAAUAAAUGGUGGUUCUGAUAUUUUUCAAACUUCAACAACUAAUUAAAUAUGUCUAUGUGACCUGAAAAUCUAGUUAUUCUUGAACCUGGUAAUGAUGAGGAUAAUAAUAUAGAUGUAGAGGUCGAUGAAUUAUUGGAAAAUGAAGAAAAUAGAGAGCAUGAAAAUAAAAUGAUACCAUUUGAAAUAUUUACACAAAUAGAUUAGAACGUUGCUAAUUAUGUUUCUGAACAAGGGUCCACAUUAAUGUGAGAUAGGAAUGUGUAUUUGUAAAAAAAUCUCAUUUAGUUCAAAAGAGAAUGUUAUUUGACUGUAAAAAAGAUUUUCAUUUGGUUAAAGUAUUGUGUGACAAAACAUUAUGAGAUUGUUGUAGUAGAAUCGAACCACAAUACUUUAGUAUGUUAAAUGCAAACAAUGGAAAGAAGGCUAUAACUGAAGAUUACAUGGAAGUAGGAGUAAGAGUCACAUAAUGUUUGUAAUUAGUAGGCUGGAAGGAGAACACUCAUGUUUGUACUCAAAAUUGACACAAGAUCACUCACAACUUAAUUUUAAUUUUUGCCAUAUCUUUUCUAGGUACCCAAAUUUUUACAAUUAUUUUUAAAAAGCAUUAUUUUUUAACUUUAUUUAGGGAAGAUAAAAUACAAAAAUGGGGUUGUAGGUUUGAAUGUAUUGUAAAAAAAUAGGGUAAAUUUUGAGUUGAAGGAAGUCGAGUCAUGUACAGGUACACAACUUUCUUUAAUUCAAUCACAACCUAGCUACAUGGCUGGAAGACUGGAUCAAAUGUUAUGAUUAGAUUAAAGGAAGUUGUGCGUACCCAAUAUACGACUUCCUCCCAAUACAAAAUAUAUAUAUUCUCUAACAUGAGCUUAACUUAACUUAACUGACAUAGAGGUUCUGAGUUCAAAACACCUCACUUCCAUGUUGGUAAUUAAAAAACCUUUUCAAAAGAGAAAAUUAUUUUUGAAAUUAUAACUCAUUUUUUGUGCAACAUAUUUGGUUGUGGAUUUUGAGCUAUUUCAAUUGAACAAAUGAGUAGUAUAAUGGUGAGUUAUUUUCGACUGUCACAAUGAUGAAUCAUAUGUUGAAGCUUGAUUUAUUUAUUUUUCAUAACUUAAUGCUUUAAGUUAAUUAGAUUGAUAUAAUCCUAAAAAAAGAAAUAGAUUGAUAUAAUUAAAUGUUGAUACUAAACUAAUACAAAGACUAAUAUUUCAUCUUACUUCUUUUCUUAUUCAAGGUAUAUUAAUGACAUUAUAUUCUUGUUUGGUAAGGGUGGACAAGGAAGAACCAAUGUGUUGGUUCGAUUUUGUUCCUUUUUUUCUUUAAGCUUCUAAGGGUUUUUUUUUUCUUUUAAGUUUCUAAUAUGACCAUGAUUAUAUUUAGUCCAAAUAAGAAUGAAAUUUCCUUAAAUCUCAAUGUCUUCAACGCUCCACUAAAACAGUAAUGACGUGUCAAUCCAAUUCGAUGAAUCCUAUUUGAGAAACCCCAAGAAAUCUAGUAAUCUCUGCAUAUAGUGCAAUAUGCUGAUCAAAUAGAAUAGUGUGUACAUUGGGAUAUGCUGCCUUUCUUCUCUGACAACUCAAAACCACAGUAGAGAAGUAUUUCAUAUAGAUUGUGAGUGAUGGACGACUGUUGAUACAACUAAAUAGAAUUAACAGGCCUGACAUUCAUUGUGCUAAUUCACUCAAAUGUCAAACUAUAAUGAAUCAAUCAGUCAAUCUAAAUCUAAACAAUCGAAGUUUUCAUUCCAAAUAUGUCCAAUAUUUAUUUUUGGUUUAAAAAUUUACAUAUCAAUACCAUCAAGCCCACAUUUUUAUAGAACAAAAAUGCAAUCAAUACAUUAAACCCUAAAAUACAGAUCAAUACAUGCAUUGCAACAAAAUCAAACAUAUAAUGCAAUACAUACCAUGCUAUCAAACAAUUAAAACACCUUUUAUUCACAAAUAAUAAAAAACAAAUACUAUGAAUUCAACCAAAUCAUACAAAUACAUUUACACUAUAUAAACAAAAUAUACAAAAAUAUAUAAAAAUGAGAAAAUAAAUUCAUAUAUACCUUAGAACUCCUAAGCAAUGAAUGAUGAACGGUGUGACAACAACGAAGAGGUGAGAGAUGACAACAACGACAAAAAGGGGAGAGGGAGGGAGGGUUUUCGUUUGUGAAAUAAAGAAGGUGGUUGAACCGAGGUUGCCAAAAGUGGGGUAGGUUUUUGAUGUUGAGUGCAUUCCGAACAACAUGACAACGUUGACUACCACAUAGGAAGGAUAGUUAAUCUAGUCAUUUACCCAACCUAUGACUUAACCUAGUCGUGUAUCGAUAUACGACUUCACUAUCCUAUAUUUCUUACCAUACUUUUUUAUCAACCUAUUUAUUUAAAGAAAAUUAAAAGUUCAUAUAAUACUAAAUAGACUAUAGACUGAGUUCAAUCUCUAUAAUAUAAUCAAAAGAGUUAAUAAAUUAAAAGUUUCAAUGUUAUAAUAAUUACUUGACAACAAAUAUUUUAAUAUCACAAACGCUCGUUUCGUUAAAAAACACUGAAUUCAAUAAAAUAAAAUAAAUAAAUAAACCUAUGGGAUAGAACUAGGUAAUAAUUUUUUGAGUAUAACAACAGUUGAGGUUAACCACAAAAUUAAUUGUGUUGUUUACUGAUAUAAUUGAUUAACUAAACUUUUUUUACUUUUAAAAAUAAUAAUUAAGUAAAUAUCAAACAAAAUCUAAAGAUUUUAUAAAUAUUAUAAAAUCUAUUAAUGAUAGAGUAGAUUUUAAUUUGUUAGUGGUAUUACCCUCCCAGCAUGAUAUAGUUUGAAAGAAUUAAAAAACUGUAUCUAAAAUUUUCAUUUUGUAAAUUCUUUUUCAUUAUCUUAUAUAUAACAAAGUACUUAAGUUGGUCCUAUUGUUAUACUUUACAACUGACCCAAAUUAAAGAAGAAAAACUUUGAAAACAAGAUUAUUGAAAUUAAACCUUAAGGCAAAUGAAUAAAUACUAUAAGCCUAUCUGUGUAAGAAAUUCUUGUUUUAGCAAAGACUUGAUGCAGUAAACUAUACCAAUCACAGCUAACACAUCUCUAACAACCUGAAAAAUUAUCCAAAAAUGACAAAAAACUCCUCAAUAAAAGCUUUGAACCAAACCAAAACUUAGCCCCACUGGGUAAUUUCAUACAACCAAGCUGUCUAAGCAUUUAAACCCAUUUACUUCCCUCAACUGUCCCUCAACGCUCUUUGCCCUUUAAAAACUCUAAGCUCAAAGCUUCAUUGGCCAAAAACACACACAAGCACAAGUGUAAGUGUUACACACAAAGAGUUAUAAUUAAGAAGAAAAUGGCCAAAUUGUUCAUGGCUUUGCUCUUGGCUCUUGUGGCCACUCAUGCCCUAGCUAGACCUACACCAAAGGAUGACACUUUCAGUGACCAAAAGAACUUCCUGACCUAUGGAGGCGUCGGUGGUUACUCUGGCAUCGGCAACAAUGGCCUCCCGUUUGGUGGUCUAGGGGGUGCCAUUGGGGGAGGAGGCCUUGGUGGCGGUCUUGGUGGUGGUCUUGGUGGUGGCCUCGGUGGCGGUACGGGAAUUGGUGGAGGACUAGGUGGACUGGGAGGUCCUGGAGGUGGAUUCGGUGGCAUUGGUGGAACCACUGGCGGUCUUGGCGGUGGUCUCGGGGGUGGACUCGGUGGUGGUCUCGGUGGCGGUGUCGGUGGAGCUUCUGGUGUUACUUAUCCUUGAAUAGUUAUUUAGUUAUGCUUGUUGAUUUUUACUCAAAAAGUUCUUGCAGUUUAAAGUUUGUUUGAUUAAUAUUGUGUCAAGAGAUGUAGUUGUUUAGUUGUUGCUUAAUGACCUUAUAGCAUUUGGUUGUGUUUGGUUUUCUAUUUAAAUUUGGUUGUGAUUAUCUUUUGUUUGUUCACUUUUGUCAGUAUAAAACAAACAUCUGCUUUAGCUGUUCCUUUUUUUUUUUCGGUUUAUAUAUUUAUUUUAUAUUUAAUGAAAAAUGAAUGGGUUGUAUGCA
rnacentral:lncRNA from 1 species